UGGAAGACUCGCGGUGGGGAGGUGAAAUGAUUGCAUAUGUUUUGUUGAUUGUUAUCUAUGUUUGUCUCUCUAGGUCUGAUGGUAAAUACUAAAUGAGUGGUGAUUUUGAUUUGGAACAAUGUAUUGCUUCACUCCAUUUCAAAUGCAUUUAUAGACCGCAUGUCUACUUGUUUAGUGAUGCGUCCUGACUUGCUUUAUAAUUUGCUUCUGGUUUCUGCUUGACAUUUUCAUGAUAUGCUAAGAAUUUGCCUCUGCUGGUUUGACUCUAACAGUACACCCAACAAAAACUUUAAGUAUUGGCUUUUCUUUUCUUCUUCUUUUUUGUUGGGGGGGGGGGGGGGGGGGGUGUUGGUGGGGGGGUGCGGCGGUUUAUAGGAGUAGAUUUGAAUUGUUGAAAUUCUGUGCUGACCAUUCAUGGGAAUUAAACAUGGUUAUCGCCUGCUUUCCAUAAAUAUUGAUGUUAAUGUUCUUCGACAGUGCCCAACAUUUUGGUUUUUGUAUAGAUCAUGUUUAUGUGAGAACUGAAUGAUGGCAUGGGAUCUGCAUUGCUUGAAAACUGCAAUGGUUGCCCACGCUACCUAUUUCUCUAAAAUUGUCUAGCUUUGGACAAAAACCGCUUCCUUACCUUCUUCCAUUUAGAUAUGAAGAUGACUGAAGCUUUGGAUUUCAGGGGUUGGAGAGUACAUCUGUAGGGGGAGCAUAGCACAUAAGCUGAAGCCACUUGCCAUAUGAUCAAUAUGUAGCUUCCCUUUGACCACGUGAUUUGAUCGUUACUUGCUUUAAGAUCUUGUUUCUUGGAACGUCAAUGUACUUUUCUAAAGAUGGUCAUGAGGAGCCUUCAUCUACGCCAUUAAAGGGCAAAGCUGGGAAGGCUUGAAAUUGAUAGAGUUACUGAACUGAGGAAUUAAUGCAGCGAGUGCAUGAAUUGCUUCAAUUCAAGCUUUAAUGAGUUACGAGGUUGUGAAAUAAUUUGUUGUUUUCAGGUAGAGAAGAGUCAUGUAGUGAGAAAAUCGAGUGAAAAAUUGAUUGCACAUCUCUCUCUUCAAUUCUGCUACUCUCUUAAUCCUUAUUUCCCCUUUCAUGUCCCUAAUUGGGGACUCUACAUUGCGGUAAGUUUGUCUUUAUGCCUUUAUACAUUCGAUGGGAAUGAUGUCACAUUUUUAAGUACUAAGAGUUAGUUCGCAAUAUGCUAUUCAUUUCUUGUAUGAGAGAUGGAUUCUUCAAGGUGUCUUUCAUUGCAAGGGGAAAACACAAUGCUUUUUGAGGCCCAACCCCAGACGAUGAUGGUCGUCUCAAAGGAACUGUGCAUGCAUACUUUGUGUUUAAAGCUCGAUCUUCCAAAAUUCUCAUUCAAGCAGAACUCGUGCUUGUGUGCGAAUUUGAAGCUCCACUUCAAAUUAGUCAGGAUUUGAGGAAUGGUCUUUUAUCGCAGUCGUCAUCAAUUUACAUUUCUGUGAAGUGGAUACUUAUACAUUGAUAUUCUUCUGAAUGAAUUGAAAGUAUCCGGCUGAAAGUUUCAUGAAUUUGACGGGCAAUAAGUAGGGGUGAGCGUGGUUCCGGGUAGAACCGGGAACCGGAACCGAACCGGAGGAGGGUCCAGUUCGGUUCCCGGUUCUGAGGAGGCCGGUUCCGGUUCCCGGUUCCUUUUUUUGGGAACCGGCGGUUCUCGGUUCCGGUACUGGGAACCGGAACCGGUCCGGUUAGGGCUAAAAGUAAAAACUAAAAAGCCCCAAAUAGUCGAAUUAGGUCUACAGAAAUCAGAAACCCUAAAAGUUGUUCUCUCUCUUCCACACGACACUUUCACUUCGUUUCACAGUUCACUCACAGACUCACAGUUCUCUCUCUUCGCUCGUCCGUUCUCCACCUCUGCUCGAGUCGACGCCACCGCCGGUCGCCCUCGACGCCACCGCCGUUGAUCUCUGCUUGAGGGUCGAGGCCACCUCCGCUCGCCCUCGACGGCAUCGCGGCUGACCCCUGGGCCCUGGCUCACCGUUUGCCCUCGACGCCACCGUUGCUCGCCCUCAACGCCACCGCUCGCUGACCCCUGCUCGAGGCCACCUCCUCUCGCCCUCGACGGCACCGGUCACCACCGCUGACCUUUGGCUCGCUGAUCGCCCUCGAUGCCACCGUCGCUCGCCCUCGACGCCACCGCGCUGACCUCUGGCUCGCUGAUCGCCCUCAACGCCACCGUCGCUCGCCGUCGACGCCAUCGUCACUCGUCCUUGACGCCACCGCUCUCUGACCACUACUCGAGGCCACCUCCUCUCGCCCUCGACGCCACCGCCGCUGACCUUUGGCUCACCGAUCGCCCUCGACGCCACCGUCGCUCGCCCUCGACGUCACUCGCCUUCCAUUCAUAUUUUCGAUUAACCUCUGCUUUUACUUUUCACUAUAUCCAGCUUUUUAACAUCACUCUUCUGCUAAGAGGGCUCUUGGGUAGGUUAACUGUUACUUAACAACAAGAAUAGUUUGAGUUGUACAAAAGAAAGUAAACUAGAGCAGCUCAUUGUCCUAUUUUUUUCUAUCAAUUAUCCUUUUCUUUUUUUUUAGGAAAAAAGUUAGCUUAAAUAUCAGUCAACCAACACUGUCUUGAUGAUAUAAUAGGGCCAUAAAUGUUUGAUGGAAUGACAAAAAAAAUGAGUAAAAUAUGAGAAAGCAAUGUGGUGAGCGAGGGUACGUGUAGGAUAACUGUAGCUGCUGGACAUUGCUGAGAAAUAAGAGAACAACAUGAUCAAACAUGGGGCAUAGACAUCAUUGUCUAAAGACGCAGCAAACUGAGAUUUGGAUGAUGUGUGUUCUUUAGGGGAUAUCUCCAGUUCUCAUUGUGACUUGCCGUAACUUUCUGGCAGUUAGGAAAUUGAAGCUUUUCGAUUAGAAUAAUCUACCACACAUGAUCCAAACGCAGAUUUUAUAAUAGCUUUUUGACGAAUGAUGCGCUCAUGGCAUGACGUGGUUUCGGAUUUCUUCUCCCUAACACAUGCGAGACUCACUGAUAAGGUUGUUGACUGAGUACUGCACGAAUCCAGUGAAUGCUUGCUAAAUCGUUUAUUCUCUUAUAGCGCUGUGUUCUCCUUUACUCUUAGUAGGACGGGAGGAAAUUUCCUCCAACCAAUCUUCUGAUUAGUGAGCUAUAAAUAUAGACGUGAUCUAUGUUUAUAUUUAGUUAAUUUUGCAUGUGAGUAAUAUUUUGUAACUUGUAACCCGCCAAAUUAGUAGGUCGAAUUUCUUGGGGCAAAAAAUAUUGGAAAAUUUAAGCCUCUUUGACAAUACGAUGUUACUGUUAUUGUAUCUGUAUUUAUCAUAGCGAAAAUGAAGAAAUAUCAAUUGGCUUUAGAAGUCAAAGCUAGUUUCUUAUUUUACAAGUUUGAUGUCUGCUUAUAAAUUUAUAAUACAGUUGGAUGAUUUUAAUUUGGCUGACGUCAUUGUGAUGGCGAAGUUAAAACUGUCAUGUUUUUUUCCUGAUGUCUUGAUGUUUGUGCUCUAGGUUCACAUAUUUGGCCUUAAAUUCUCUUCCCUGCUGUCCUAGAGCAACAGAGCUGUCAUUGACUCAGUCAGGGGCUUUCUCGACACUGUUGGACCAUCAAAUUUCAACAUCACUUGUAGAUUUUAGUGAGACAGCUUUGCAAUCUUUCUGGUUCAAAGGUAGGUGAUGAAAUAAAGACUGAAAUUGGUCUACUUUCCCAUGGUUCAUGCUGUAUUAUGUUUCUAUACACCAUUGAUAUGCUGUAUUUCAACAUAAUAGACUUAGUUUAUGUAUAAAACUGUUGUAUUAUGUUUCUAUACACCAUUGAUAUGCUGUAUUUCAACAUAAUAGACUUAGUUUAUGUAUAAAAGUGAUGUAUUAUGUUUCUAUACACCAUUGAUAUGCUGUAUUUCAACAUAAUAGACUUAGUUUAUGUAUAAAAGUGCUGUAUUAUGUUUCUAUACAUCAUUGAUAUGCUGUAUUUCAACAUAAUAGACUUAGUUUAUGCAUAAAAGUGCUGUAUUAUGUUUCUAUACACCAUUGAUAUGCUGUAUUUCAACAUAAUAGACUUAGUUUAUGUAUAAAAGUGCUGUAUUAUGUUUCUAUACACCAUUGGUAUGCUGUAUUAUGAUGUGUUAACAUUGUUAUCAACUAAAUUAAUUAUAUUCUGUUAUUGUUGUGUAGUGCAAAGUUAAUGAAUCGAGAUAACACAUCAAUGGAGGUGGAGGGACAUGAGGAGAUGAGUCCGAUCACGAAAUUGGAGUUUUCUGGCCAUGAAAAUGAAGAAGAGGCACCCCCUACCACGAGUGCCACAAGUAAGGCUGGUUGUCAUCUUCCUCUUAAUAGGAAAUAUACAUCGGAAUGCUAGAAUCAUUAUACUAGAAUUAAUGAUAAGGAUGGAAAACCAAAUCAAGUGAAAUGCAUUCAUUGUGGGACCAUGCUUAAGUAUAGUGUUGCUAACGGUACUUCUGCGAUGAGGAAGCACUUGACCACAUGCAGGAGGUUCCCCCGUAACGUAGAUAAGAGACAGAGGUUCUUUGCACCACGUAAUGUAGACGUGGCUGGCAAGUCAGGAGGAGAUUCUACUACCAGUAGUGUCUUAUCGACAUGGGCGUUUAAUCAAGAAUGUUGUAGGCGGAUGCUUGCUCGGUUCAUCAUCAUUGAUGAGCAACAUUUUCCUUGGUUGAGCGAGUUGGAUUUCGUGAAUUUGUCGGUGAGUUACAACAUCUCUUCAAACAUAUAUCACGUUUCACAAUGGCCAAAGAUUGCAUGAAGUUGUACUUAGAUGAAAAAACUUAUUUGAAGAAUUAUUUUCGACAGAUUAAUUCUAGGAUCGCACUCACAACCGACACAUGGAGUUCCAUUCAAAAUCUGAAUUAUUUGUGUCUCACUGCUCAUUUUAUUGAUGAAAAUUGGAAGUUGCAUAAAAGAAUCAUCAAUUUUGUGGUGAUGCAUAGUCAUAGGGGUAGGGAGAUUGGGAGAAUGGUGGAAAAAUGUAUUGAAGAGUGGGGAAUUGAAAAGAAGGUGUCCACAAUCACUGUGGAUAAUGCUAGCUCGAAUGAUGUUGCAAUUAACUAUUUGAGGGAUAAAUUUUCCAAAGAAAAGUCGUCGAUAUUGGAUAGUAGUUUUUUGCACAUGAGAUGCACAGCUCAUAUAUUGAAUUUAAUUGUGAGAGAUGGCUUGACUACGGUACGUGACUCUAUUGUACAUAUCCGGAAUGUGGUUAGAUAUGUAAAGAGUUCUCCCGCAAGAGCCAAUGCAUUUCAGACUUGCAUUAAGAGUGAAAAGAUCACUUAUAAGGUUCGGUAGUUCUUGAUGUUGCCACUAGAUGGAAUUCCACUUAUCUCAUGUUAGACACAGUUAUAAAGUUCAGAAAAGCUUUCCAAAGAAUGGAAGAAGACAAUAUAUCUUUUGCAAGUGAGCUGAACCAUGAAACUCCUAUUGAUGAUGAUUGGGAAAAUGCUAUUAUUAUUUCAAAUUUUCUAAAAGUAUUCUAUGAUGCCACCAAUCGGAUGUCAGGGAGUUCGUAUGUUAUUUCAAAUGAUUAUUUUGAAAGAAUAGCUCUUUUGUAUAGAUAUUUGAAAGAUGCGGUCAAUGCUUUGGAUCCUAGGCUUCAAGAUAUGGGUGUAAAAAUGAAAGAAAAAUUUGAUAAAUAUUAUGGAAGCUUGGAUAAAGUGAAUAUGAUGGUGUUGAUUGCGGUUGUGUUAGAUCCUAGGGCCAAGUUGAAUUAUGUGACUUUCUUGUAUGAACAAAUAUAUGAUGAUGAAUUGAAAGUUAAAGAGAUGCAUUACAAGGUGAAGGAUGCAUUGGAGCGUUUGUAUGAAUUUUAUAAGCAAUCUUCUGUUAUUUCAAGUGAUCAAAAUGUUGGUGGCCAUAGUUCGGGUACAAGUGGUAGUGCUUCCAAUGUCGAUUCGGGUGGUAGUGAAAGAAUAAAGAAGUAUGACGUCCAAGUUUGGAAAAAAAUGUUUUUAUACUCAAAUGAACAAGGGUGUGAUGACAACAAGUCCGAGCUUGAUGAGUAUCUUCAAGAAAAAAAUGAAAAGGAUCUUAAUCUUGACCUUUUGAUGUGGUGGAAGACUAAUGGCUCAAAAUAUAAGAUCCUUUCUUUGAUGGCUCGAGAUAUUUUGUCCAUUCCAUAUCUACCGUUGCUUCCGAGUCAACUUUUAGUACAUCGGGUCGUGUGCUUGAUGGCUUUCGAAGUUCUUUAACUCCUAAAGUAGUGGAAGCUUUGAUUUGCACUCAAGAUUGGUUGAGAGCCGUUCGUGUACCGAUUGAUGUUGAGGAGUGCAUCGAGAAUGCAGAAAAAUUUGAGUUGGGUAAGUGACAUUGAUUAUAUCUUUAUAUAUUGUAAUUCUUUUUGUAUAUCUAUAAGUGAAUAUUUUAUCUAAUCUCUCUUCUUCUGUUUUUUUUAGAUAUGGAUGUUGUUAAUGCAGAGAUUAUGGCUGGUAAAUAGAGUUUAUCAGCUAAAGCGGAAUGAAUAUAUGUGGUAAGUCCAUUAGACUUGUUUCUAAGUACAAUAAAAUGUUCAUGCUUCAUCUCAAUUGUAUUAUCUAAUGACGCCUACCCAUUCCAUAGGGAAACAGAACUGGACUUAUCAGUUUCAAGUGAAGGAUCAGAUUGGAGCGUAGCAACUAUGAUUCUGAACCUAUGCUGCGUUCAUGCGGUAUAACAAUUAGCAAUAGCUUUACUCAAGUUGAAGGCCGCGUUCUACCGGCUCCUAAGGUGCCACUGCUAGUUUCCCUUUUGCAUUUUUUUUGCUGGAUAAAAAAAAAAAUUCUGUUUGUUUGCAAUGGACUGUUAGACAAUCAUCUGCAAUAACACAAACUUCUGUGGCUUCCUUCCCAGCUAAACGUGGGCAAUGGAGAGGAUUUCUUCCCCCGCAAUGGACGGUGGAGCUUUCAGAGUAAGGUUAUUUGAAUUAUCUGCCACCAAUUAUUGUGUUCAAUAAGUCUGUUUAUGCUAUCUUUUCACUCUUCUGCAGAAAUUUGUUGAGCCAGCUAAGAUACAGAAAUGGGCUGUGGUGAACUUCUCUGCUCGGUGUGACAUGCGUGGGCUUAUAAGAGAUCUGACUAGAUUAGCUGAAAUGAAAGGACUUGUGAGUAUUAUAUCCUGUCUGCUGCAACAUUUUCCUUGAUGACUGAUAGACACCUUUUUUAUCCCCUGAUUGCCUUGUUAAUUGUGUUUCUUAUAUCUUGUCCGGUGUCAAUUAUAAUGCAACAUCUUCCAAUAAGCUAAUGAAUAGUCCGUGACCAUCAAUGAUGCAGCUCACCGAACAACCUUUUGACGUGUUUGAGGAAAGCCCCCAAUUCAGAAGAGCCCCUCCUGCUGUUAGAGUGGAUAAAAUGUUUGAGGAGAUACAGGCUAAACUACUGGGGUGCCGCUCCUCCUCAAAAGACUAAAGUAUAUCCUUUAUCAACCCCUGAUGCGCAUUCCUAAUUUGAACGUCAGCAUGCCGAGUUACUAAGCUGUUUAGUUAUCCUGUGCAGCAAAAGCAGCAUGGCUCUGUCACUAUGUGUAAGUAACCCUUCUUAGCAUAUCUGGAAGUUUUAGUUGUUUGGGUCUUCUCUUUUUUAAUUUUGGUGGUGCUAAGUUAUGUUUGCUGCUGUUUUCAGCUUUUAGAGAUGGGAUACUCAAUCCAAUUGGAGACAGGGUACGUUAGUUCCCAGCACAGCAAGAAACUUUCGAUUUGAUUAAGGCAUAGAACAUUUAGAAUGAAGUGUGUCGUUCAAAUGAUAGCUUGUGAUGUAUUUUUAGCAAUGCAUGAAUUUCUCUCCAGUUGUUUUUCUAACUAAAACUGUCAUACGGAUGUCGAUUUGCAGGCGAGUUCAAUAUGGUUGUACAUAGUACCUCAGGGGCUCAGAAGUUUAAUGAACUAUAUCAAGACAAAGUACGGGAACCCGCCUGUUAUUAUUACCGAAAAUGGUAAGUCUGCCGAGCUUUAAAGAAAAAAGGCAACUAGCAUACAGAUGCUACAUCUUUCUGUAAUAUCUUCACUGAAGUUGAAGGUCUUCUUAAUCCAGUCAUGACUUACUGAAGAAGAAAAGAUGCUCAAAUCUGUUGCCUUUGUCUGUUCUAACUUGGGUCUCUGCAGGUAUGGACGACCCGAGCCCGCCGCUAAUCAACAUCAAAGAGGCUCUCAAGGAUGAGAAGAGGAUCAAGUAUCACAAUGACUAUCUCACCAACUUGCUGGCCUCCAUCAAGUGCGUUACGAAUGUUCCGUGCGCUUUCUCUCUUUUUAUCAGUCGAAACCGAGCUCUUUCUAUGUCGUUCUUUCUAACAUUUUGCUUUAUAACUGAACCAGAGAAGACGGAUGCAACGUGAAAGGGUACUUCGUGUGGUCUCUGUUGGAUAACUGGGAGUGGGCGGCCGGAUACACUUCGAGGUUCGGCCUUUACUUUGUGGAUUACAAUGACAAGCUAAAGAGGUACCCCAAAGACUCUGUUCAGUGGUUCAAGAACUUCCUGAAGUCUACUUAACCAAUUAAUGAAGAUGAAGGAGGCGCCACAGUGGAUACUAAAGUCAACAAUUCUAAUGAGUAAUUCUUUUAGAUCCUUUUUGUGUUGUGAGUUAACCAAUUGAUGAUGAUUUAACCUGUAGUGGUCCAUUGCUCGAUGAUUACAAACAUACAUUUAUACCCAUACUUUCUUCCUGCAGCUUGGUGGCUUGAACUCUUUGUUGACGGUGGAGCGUUCUUCUAUUCCUGUGGUUUCCAAGGUUCCCAGUUCCCACCAUGAUCCUUGGAAUGGAUGUGUCUCAUGGCUCUCCUGGGCAUUCUGAUAUUCCGUCCAUUGCUGCGGUGAUGUGCUAAUUCAGCUCAUGUAAUUACUUGACAUGUAGCUUGUAGCAGGGGCAUAGUGGCUUAUAAGAUUCUCUGUCAAUUACAUCUCAAACGCAGGUGGUAAGCUCUCGCCAAUGGCCACUAAUUUCUCGCUACAGAGCAACUGUUCGUACUCAUUCCCCUAAAGUAGAAAUGAUAGACUCUCUGUUUAAAAAGGUGUCUGACAAAAAGGAUCAACGUAUCAUAAGGUGAGCUUGUGUUGUCUACUAUAUUUAUAUGGGAGAGUGCUUCUACUUAAUUUUGAAUCAUGUGCAAGAUCGCAUCUUAUGACCACAUGUGCAUCUUCCAAUAAUUUGUUGCUUUAUCCCAUAUGUCAAGCCUUCUUUUGGUUUCUGAUUUCAGAGAGCUUCUCUUGGACUUUUAUGUGAGUUCCGGCAAAAGGAAACCUGACCAGAUUAUCAUAUUCAGGUCUGUAUCUUUAAUGAUGUGAUGUCUUAAGUGUGCCUGAUUUAAUGCAUUAUCUAUAUUACCANNNNNNNNNNNNNNNNNNNNNNNNNNNNNNNNNNNNNNNNNNNNNNNNNNNNNNNNNNNNNNNNNNNNNNNNNNNNNNNNNNNNNNNNNNNNNNNNNNNNAAGAGCGUUGCUUUUCCAGAGUGGACUAUCCUGAUUCUAGGAAGCAGGGCUUUGUUGUUGUUCCAGAGCCUUCUCCUGAAAUAGUUGUCCAGCAGCAUUUUAUGCCAGCUCAAGCCCAGCCUAAAUUGGAGGCCAAGGCUAGCAAGCCAGUUACUGCCGAUUCUUGUCCUGUAGGAGGCGAACCUGCUCAGUCAUCUGGAUUCUGAACACUAGGUUCAUGAAUUUUCAAAAGAAUAUUCUCGAUUUCCUGGUGUUGAAUCUAGAGUAGACAAUCUGGACUAUUCUAUUUCCAUGGAUCCUGUAAAGCCCAUUGAUAAGAGAAUGGAAAAUCUACUGAUAAGGCCCCCUGAGAUGCUGGCCAUUGAGCAUGGUAGGUUGCCAAGUGAAGAACAAAGAAAGACAGAGAUAUUGAAGCAAAAGGUACAGAAAAACCUGAACUUCCUAUAUGUUUUCUCAUACUACUCAAGCCACAAUUUCCGAGUCCUCUGCCCUUUCGGCACCUGAAGUUCCUUAUUUGCGUGAUAUUCGACCGGUGGAAUUCCAAAACAUGUCUCAAGCACCUAAUGUUGGUAUCCCAAGAUCAAAUUCACAAUCCAGGAUAGUUGUCCAAGCAGAACCUGAAAUUUUAAUCAUGAUACUCAUUUUCCUCCUCCAAAACCUACCAAAAUUGCACUAAGAAAAGAAGGCCUUGGAGCUAAGGAUCAAUUCUUGGAUAACCGUUCUGCAAAGGUCGGGGACUUGAAUGCAGAACUACAGUUGGAGGAUGGAGUCCAGCAACCAUUCAAUAAUCUCGCAAACUAUGUCAAUUCAGAACAUUUUCCAUCUUCCGAAGGUUGUUCUUUAUAGGACCGAUAUUCUAUGUUUCUAAAGUUAGUUUUCUGUUUUUCCCCUUUAUAUAUAUAUAUAUAUAUAUAUAUAUUUUUUUUUUUAUAGUUGUUUAAUUUCUCUUCUGAAGGUUCAGCAAAGGAUCUCAUCAAGCAAGAUCUUCGAAAUGUUGCUGAGGGUGUAGCUGCUUCUGUUCUUCAGUCGGCUCUUCCUUCUAAUCCUGAUUUAACAGUUUAUGAAGGAAAUGAGUCCACUCAUGAAGCAUACCAGGAUAAAAAUGUGCAGCAAGAAGCUGACACUGAGGUGAUUGAGCUCUUUUGUGUUCAUAAAGUGUUUGUAUACAUGAGGUUGCUUUGUCCUUCAAGUGCAUUCAUUUUGAUGAUCAUGUACAUCUGACAUUUUCAUGUAGGAUGCUAAUUCUAUAGUGGCAGAGAGGAUGAAUUUCGGGUUUCCAGUAUCAGAUGGCAUUGGUCGCUUGCAAGUGAGAGAUUUGCUUCACUAUGAUACAUGUUUGGUUUUCCUGGGACUCAGCUCUUAAUUUGCUUGGAUUUCCAUUCUGCAGAUAAUUAAGAACGGUGAUCUUGAAGAGUUGCGAGAAUUAGGUUCUGGCACUUAUGGGACUGUUUAUCAAGGAAAAUGGAGGGGUACUGAUGUAGCCAUCAAAAGAAUCAAUGAUAUUGAUAAGUGCUUUUCUGGGAAGCCCUCAGAGCAAGAGCAAAUAGUAUGGAUCUUCUUGCUUUUUGUUGUUUUUGAUAUUUAAUAGUAUUCUUUCUGAAUCCUUGGCACUGUUGCUAUGCUGAGACAGAGAUAUGAUUUCUAGAAUGAGGCAAUCAACCUUGCUGACUUGCAUCAUCCAAAUGUGAUGGCCUUUUACCUCCUCUUCGUUCUCAGUGGAGGGAUCAUCCAGCCAUUCCAAUUUCCAGCAGAGGAGUGCUGACUUUGGCGAAAAUCUUUGGGAACUUGAAGACACUUUAUCAGAAGCUGCAUCAAAGCAUGAGCUAUGAGUCUUUUGCUGAUUUAAACAAGUUUUCCCAGGUAUGCCACCUGCAUAAAGUUAGUAGGAUAGCAGGGAAUGCACAAUUUUUCCCAAGACACCAUUUGAUAGAAACGUGCAGGUGAACUUACCUUUAUGAUUUUAUGAAUUCUGUGUUCAUUAUAAGUAGAUGAAGCUAAGUCUGGCUCUUAUGCCUACAGUACAAUUAUGGCCAUUGUCAGAGCACAUUUCAUCCAUCAUGUGCUCGAACUAUUGGCUCUUAUUACACUCAUGAAUGUAAAAACAGCUUGUUUAUUACUUCUAAAAUGAUGUUUGCUGUUUGUGUUAUAUUAUCUUCAAUGAAUGACAAGUUUGUUUAUUAUUGAUGCAUUCAUUUUCAUUUUUUUAACUAAAAAUGAAAAAAAAAAAAAAAGAACCUGUUGGAACCUGGAACCGACCCCGGAACCUGUGACAGGGUAGGUUCCACGUUCUCGGUUUUGACGGGUAGGUUCCAGGUUCCAAAAAAUGAGGAACCUGUACCCGAGGGUAGGUUCCAGGUUCCAAGCGGAACCUGUAAGGAACCGGGAACCGCUCACCCCUAGCAAUAAGUACGGAAACUCAAGAUGAAAGGGAUUUCUCUAUCUAUGAUUGAUGAUAGAAGAUCUAACUAUCAGUGCAGAUAGGCCAGAAGUACAAGAAGGAAAUUGCAAGCAGGAAUAGGAAGUUAUGUGAAUUUAUUUCUGAGCUAAGAACUUAGAUUAACUUGUCAAAAUGAGAUUACAUAACCACAGAUAUACAUUUGCCUCUACUUCAAUGACCAUGGUUCAAGCUUCAACGAUGGUGGCAUGAAUCUAUUCGACAAAGGUCAAAAUGAUCAGAAGCUGAAAAAGGCAGCUUUCAGAGCUAAUACGGUCUAAAACUGUACCAGAGCUAGUUUACAUUGACAAAGUCUGCUAGAAAGCUCAUACGUCUAGACUUUGAGGCCUAUUUAAACAGGGACGGUCCUCAACUCGGCUGCAUUAUCUUCCUCAUGCUCUCCAGAGAUCUCCUCGAGUGAAUGGCCCUUUGACACUGGCACCAAGAAGAUGAAGACUAUCCCAAAGAAACUGGUCACGCCGAGUGUGAUCAAGGUCUUCACGAAUAAUUACAACAAAUGGCGGACUGAUUUUCUUGCUCAGUUUGAAUCAAUGUUGCGGAGGAGCUAUGUGGCGAAGUUCAAAGUGGAAAGGGGUCGUGCGUCGUGAAUGCCAGUGCUCUAUUUGGCUUCAAAUGCCAGUGCAAAUCGGGUUGGAAGCAGAUGCGCCUUGACAAUGAAGAUGACCUCAAGUUCUAUUUGGCUUCAAAUGCCAGUGCGAAGCGGGUUGGAAGCAGAUGUGCCUUGACAAUAAAGACGACCUCAAGUUCCAUCCCAGUGUUUACAAGGUUGCAGGAAUUGUAACAGUAAAUAAAGCAAACACUUUGCCUUAAGUAAGAAAUCAUUUGGCUAGUUCUCUGUAGUAGAAUGGGAAAAAAAAGUGUGACUUGCCAAUUUUUUGCUCCAAUUAAAUGGCGAAACAAAUGGAUGAUGCGACUCUGAGAAGAUAAAUGAAAAACUAAUCCUAGAACAUGAAGCUCGAGAGCUUCAUCUGCAGACUCUGCACAUUACCUCACAUAAACAUUCAACGUUCAGAGCCAUAUGGUUGAGGUUCAUAUGAAUUGUGUUUUGCUUUUGUGAACAUAAGCUCAAGUUGCAAAUCUUCUUUUCGUGCAGGUUCUGUUGAGCACUCCUGCAUGCCCGGGCCUCCCCCAGUCCCAUCCGUUCCGUACAACGCAUGUGUCUUCGAUCGUAAAUCAUCUUCACCUCCCUCAUCAUUUUGGUACAUAAGUAGUAUUGAAGGGAUUUCUGGGUAGCUUGCUACUGGAUAUAUUGUGGAGGAAGGACAUGCACGAAGUCUGCAACUUAUGAGCACACUUGCCAGUGCGAUGCGGGUUACACGAUUCUCAUGAACGUCAGCAUCUUCCCGUGCUUCAGUGAUUGUAAGAUAUAAACUCAAAGACUCGAGAUUGCAAUUCAUUCUAAUUCCCAGUUUUUCCACUCACGCGUACCUUCCUUUUAACAUGUUUUGUGGAGGAUUCUUUGAAGGUGCAAUCGGUAACAACUGUUAAAAGCUCAGAAUAAAAGUUUCCAACUCAUUUACCACAGGAUCAGACAGCGGAAGUAAAGGUGACAUUCUGAAAACGUCUCUCUCUUGAUCUUAUCUUAUUCCAAUGGCCAAAACAAGUUUUCCAAAGAAAAGGUUGCUUGCUUCCCAAGGUUUCGAUUAAGUCAAAAAAGAGAAGUUCAUGUAGUUCAAUCUGAAAUGGCAGCUAUUAACAAUCACAUUUACAUAGUCACACCCCCUACAACAGCCUUUGACAGUGCAUUUGGUGUUGAAUGAAGACAAUCCAAGUCAUCAACUUCCUUUAACAUUAAACAGGGCAUUUAUGAACUACAAUCUAGUGAAAUUUUUACCAAACCUAAUGCCUGGUAUCUUGGGAAGUUGCUGUGGAUGACCAUCUUCACAGCAUCUAUGGCUUUGGUUCUAUGGAACUAGUAAGAGGGCAUCAUCACGAGACCGAGGCUUCAUGUGGAGUUGUACUAAAGACGUAUAGAUUAUACUCAAUUUCCAUUCGCGCAAUGGUUUAUGUUGCACUUUGUUCUUUAUUUGUUGAAGUGACAUUCUUGUGUAAAAUUGUUAUAGAAACAUGUCUAUCGUAUGGUUUGACACUACACUAUAUCACAUGUAUAAAAGAGACCAAUGCUUUCACUCCUCCUUUCAUUGAGGCUUCCGAGGAUUGCAACCAUUCUACGAUCAAAAGAAACUGGCGUUUUGUGAAACAUCUUGAUUGUGCAUUUCUUCGCUUUUCUUUCAGUUUUCAGCCUGCAAACAGAGCCAUCAACGCCCUAGGCAGAGCAUUGCAUCAUGAGUCUUAUCUUGGGGGAGACAGUCCUUGUGUUUAGCUAGGCUCAUUCCAUCAUCUUUAGAUAAUUUCACAGAAAGAUUAUAUAUUCGCAGAGAGAUUCUGAUGCUGAUAAAUAUUAGUCACAGAUUAAGGUGAUAAUUCAUAGAAAACUAAUCGUCCAUAUAAUAGCAAACAGAGAGAAUGGCAGAUAAUAAGGAUGAAUCCAAGAUAUAUUGCUGAAUCCUGAAAAUAAAACUAGAAAUCUCAACAUCCUCAAUUAGCAGGUCCAUCUUUUAGUUGCACUCUCUCCAUUUCUAUACCAAUAGCCACUAUUUGUGAAUAUCGAUUUCCUCAAAAGAAAAACAAAAGAGUAUUGACACGUAUCAUGCAUGAAUGAAUAAUGUUUCAAAAUUGAAGGCCAAAUCACUUCACAACAGAAACCUCUGGUUUUCGUCUCCCUUCAGUUGAAUCACUUCCAUAGUCUCACCAGCAACAUUAAAUACUAAAAACAGGAUACACAACUGUCGACAGGAGCGUACUCGCAAGUCACAACCUCGAAUGCAAUUGUCUAUCAUAACAACAGAAACUGAUAAGCAGAGUAUAUUCUAAAUGGCUUGAUAAUGAGUAUUGACACCUAAAUUUUGACGAUUUGUUUAAAUGUUUAUUAAUUGCAUUGGAAAAUUAGGGAUUAAUUUCUAACCCCUUAACAAAAAAUUUUCAUUAAAAUCGCAUCACAUAUAGACAUUAGGAGCAUUUGCGUCACUACUUUUAAAAUUUAUCAAAACAAAUUACCAAAAAAAAAGAGGGGUAGUCGGGCCAGGUUCAGACAAGCCUUGGGCUGGCCCCUUCCUCUCUUUCCUUUUCUCUUUCCCUCGCGCUGGGCCCGGCCCAGCCCUUUUUCCCCUUCAGCCCAGCCCGCGCACGAGCUGGUCGUCUCCCUCUUGCCGUCCUUCGCACGCGCCUACAAGAAAGGAAGAAAAGCAGCAACAGCAGAGGGGAGUAGAGGGAACUAGGGGUGAGCAGCGGUCUAGGGUCGACCCUGGACCAACCCUGGACCGGCCCAACCCUGCCGAUCCUAGUCCGGUUCCCAAGGGGACUGGGUCGGUCCUUGGUCCUGAAAUUCCAAUAUCAACACUGUGCGGGUUGGUCCUCGGUCCUAAGAGUUUUUGGUCGGUCCAACCCUGGACCAACCCUGUAUAUUAUAUUAUAUUAUAUUAUAUUAUAUUAUUUCUAAUUCUUUUAUAUAUUCAAACCUAAGUAAAAUGUUUGUUAUAUUAUAUUAUAUUGAGAUGUUCUAUCAAUAGCACUAAUAAUAAUUUCAAUUUAAAACUUAUGUUGAGUAUUAAUUAUGUGUUGUUUGUUUUGUUUUCAGGUGUUUAGAAGUUCAAGUGAAUUAACAAGAUGUGAAGUUAUAUAUCCAUGGUUUAUAUUAAAUAUUUUGAACUUUUUAUAGUGUAAUUGUAUUUUACUAAUGAAUUUCAGCUGCAUUUUGCUUUUCAAUUAGUGUUAAAUGGUAGAAGUUUUUGAAGAGUAGAGUAGUACUGCAGUUGCUAUAGUGAUUUGCUAGUCAAGUGGUGUGAAGCUCAUUUUUUGGUUGAGUGGACUCUACAUGAUCAAAUGCAGGAAAACGCUUUUGCAUAUGGUGUCAUGAAUAUUAAAGAUAGAUAAUUACAAGAACUUUCCAUCUUGUCCCAUAUUUCAAUGAGUUGUUAGUAAGUACGAAAUUUCUAUUAGUGUCAUCUUAAAUUUGCUAAAUAUGUAUUGGUAUUUAUAGUUUAAUUGCACAAUGCCGCAUUAUCGAUGGAUGUGUAAUUUAAAUUUGUAGGUUUGUUUUUUUAGGGAGUAUAAAAAAUAAGACGAAAAAAAUUAUCGAUCGAUCCCGGGUUGACCCUGGAACCGGACCGAACCCAUUGGGUCGGUCCGGUCCUUGGUCCCAGGCUCAAUAGGGUCGGUCCUCAGUUCUAAAAAUUAUGGACCGACACUGUACGGGUUGGUCCUAGGGUUAGGGGUGGCCCGGACCAACCCGAACCAUGCUCACUCCUAGAGGGAACAGCCGAAUCAGGGGACGAUCGGCUGGAGUUGGUGGUCGCGGAUCAGGCCGGCAAGGGCAGCUGGCACAGUAGGAGGCCGGGCGCCUGCGGAGAGAAGAAAAACAGAAGAAAAGAACAGGAGAGAGGGGGUUUUCUUCGGUAAGCAACCAAGAUGGAGAGAGAGCAAGUGAGAUAGAAAGCGAGAGAGAGCGAGAGAGAGCGAGAAGCAGGGAAUGAAGAGUGAGGCCAUGAGUGAAGGGCCUCGUCCAGCAGCCACCGCGCUUAGACCUUGGCCGCCGACCCUUGCCAACGUGUAUCUCCCCACGGUAGGUUCUAUGCGUUUCUUUUUUUAUUUGUUUCGAGUUGCUUUGAUUUCUCGAGGAUCCCGGUUCGGAGGCGUGCGGGGUUGACCGGACGUAGUCCGAUCUAUCGAUCUCGCUCGCCGUUCGCCGACCCCGAGCAGGGUAGGGACCCUCUGCCGACCCUUUUUGUGCCCUGCGUUUGCCCUGUCCCCUCACAUCUUUUGCGUGAGUUUCUGAGUCGGGGCGUGCGUUUCGAGGUCGCUUAUGCUGUCCUUCAUUGAUGUUGAGCAUUCCCUGCCAUUCGCGUUGAGCUUUGAUCUAGUUUCGAGUCUUAUUCUUGUCUGUGGCUGCCUUUCAUUUGACGCGCUCCAAAUGUAUGAUAUAAUGCUUCAGUUGGUGUUGUUCUUUAAACGAGACCCAAGUCUGGAUUAAUUCUAUGGAAGCAUACCGUGGACCUGUUUAAAAUAUUUUCAUCGACUUGAGAUGUCUUCUGAUUGAUGUAGGACCAACUCGACACCAAAGUGUGGGUUCAUCGAUAUUCCAUGUCUCUUUAGUGAACACGNNNNNNNNNNNNNNNNNNNNNNNNNNNNNNNNNNNNNNNNNNNNNNNNNNNNNNNNNNNNNNNNNNNNNNNNNNNNNNNNNNNNNNNNNNNNNNNNNNNNGGAGAGAGCUGAGAGUUGAUAUGCGGGAAAUUGAUGUUGCGAAGAGUCGACGUUCUGGGAACGUGGACUAGAGAAAUAGGAAAAUUACUAAUUAGCUCUUGGGGUGGGCUUGGUUAAAUUCAUUUCUAAUGUAAUCGUGUCGGGCUUGGGGCUUUAUUUGAGCAGGCUUGGGCUUGACGUGAGUUAGAAGAAUCUGGGCUUGGCAUGGCUGGUGCCAUUUGGAUUGAUUUGUUCAUUUGUUAUUUUUUUGUUAAGUUGGGACAGAUUGGGCUCAACGUAAUGAGGGCACUUCGGGUUAGGGCCUGGGAGGCGCGACCCAAGCCGCGGACUCGGGUCGGUCUUGGCCCAGACUAGAUCCGAAGACUCUACCCGGGUCCCAUUUUCGGAUCUAAAAAAGUAUUUUUAUUAGAAAUUAAAAAUAUAUAUAUCUUUAAAAAAAAAAACUUCAAAAAAAAGUUUUGGUUUUUUUGUAAAAAACUAGGGAAAAGUAUAUAGUUUUUGUGUAAUUUUUACUUAAAAAGUAGAAGCCCUUUGCUCUCUAAAAUUGUGUUAAAAAAUUGAACAAGCCUUUAUGAAUUUACCUUAGGGUUUUGAUUAUUCUUAAAGAUAAUUGUCCUUGGUUGCACAAUGUUGAUACGUGAAAUCUGGCUUCUCUUUAGUCUAGUUAGGAUUAGCAUUUGUCUUCUCUAUAGUAUUAAUUCUUUGAUUUCCCAUGCAAUUUAUUUAAUGUUUUCCUUGGUUGCUAAUUGUUAUUUUAAUGACUGCGCAUCCGCACGAUCACCUCACAUGUUAGUGGAUAUGUGUAAAAUCUGACAAAAAUCCUUUCUUUUAAAAUGAACAAGAUUGUGUGGCCAUUUAGAUGAACAACCUUCCAAGUUAGUGGUACCGCAAGCGCGCUAAUAGAAACAUUGGAGUAAACAAGUCCCCGUUCCUAAAAAUCUCUAGUUGCGUAGGAAUCGAGACAACACUCCCGCAUCUUGAUUAGUUUGUAGUCGACCCCAAUAGGUUAGUGGCGACUCCUAGAAUUACAUAGGUUGUUAAGAACUAAAAAUAUAAAAUCCAAUGUCGCGCGAGGUAUGGACUUGGGAGAGCCUGUGCCUAAUUUAGGGCCAUUGGUCCACCUAUUUAGGCAAAUACUCCUAAACCUUCUUUCUUUUCCCCUGGAUGGGAAAAAAGAGGUCGCGACAAUGCGCGUUACAAGGGCUGCCGCAAAUUGAAUGAUUUACACUUAAAGCAUGGGAGGACCCAUCGAACAUUUGAGUUGUUUAGAACAAAUUAAACGUGAUUACACAUCAGAGAGAUGCAAGACACAAUCUAUUUGAAUCUAAUGAAGAUUACAAUUCUCACCAAGGUGACUGCUGGGCAAAAAUGUUACUUCGCCUUUACAUCCAUGCUAGUUUUACCAGGAAUAAUCACAGUUGUCGCCAUGUGCGAGAACAACCCAUGGUCCACCAGUGGAGAUAUCUCCUUUCCUGCGGCAGGCAGCCUUAAUUGGAGUCCUGAAAUGCAAGUCUACAAUGUAGUUUGAGUUAUCCGUAACAAAAGGCUUCAUGUCUUCAUUCAAUUGUAGCUUUGCCUCACAUGCCCUUGUUCAAACAACUCUUGAAGUUGCACCUAUCAACAUCAAAAUUCCCAAAUCGAUCAGCUUCUCGCAACAUCAAGAACCGAAUGUUAUCAUGAUGAACCCCUGCUUUUCAGGAGUGAAAGCCAUCGAUUCCAGUUGGAUCCCAAAUAUGACUCCCAUGUAUCAACAACGUAUCAUCCUCUUAAACUAUAAUUAACACUGAAUUUCUAUUCGACGGAAUUUUGAGUACUUAAAAAAGGCUCUUGCUUCCAUGUCUUCAAUUUUACAAAAGUAAACAAAAAUGCUCACAACUUCACUCAAUUGCCGACCUACAAAUGAAUCAUGGCUGAAUUUAGGAGUUUCUUUUCCAAAACAUUAUCCUCACAACAAGAUGAGUUGUCUAACAAACGUUCACCUCAUUAAAUCCAUCGAAGAACAUCAUUUCAUGAUCGAAGAAUCCUACUACACUCAUCUUAAAUCCACAAAGCAAUCACUUCCUAGCACAAUAACUUCAUAAUUAUGGGGAAAAAAACCGCCCUUUCCACCCCGUUAUUUCAAAGCAGACGUGCUCUAAUGCGUAACCUACUACCGACAUGGUUUAAAUGAACCAAUGGAGUUUAGUAAUAAGACCACUAACCAGAUUGUACUUCCAAGUUUGUAAUAGACACUUCUUCAUACCUUGUCCUUGACGUGGGAGAGCUGACAGAGCGACGGUGUGCCAAAGAGGGAAAUGGAGGUGAGGAUGACGAAGUGGAGAGCCGAAGAAGCAGAGGUAGGUGAUUGAGCUGCAGUGCAGAAAACAAAGUGGGGAAGGAGACGAAUCCUAGUUACGCCCAAAAGCUUUAGCUCACUAAAAAUCUAUUGAAAAAAAAGAAAAAAAAAACACACAUUAAGUACACAUAAAUUUUCAAAGAGCCAGCUCAGAAAUUUAUUUUACCCCAUAAUACAAAUUCUGGGAUUUCACGGAUGAGGUGUUGAUACCGUUUCGUGCAUCGCUUUUUGCAAAAUCCCACAUCCAAAGAUCCAGAGUCUUUCUAGGGAGAGAGGAAGGCCAUCCUGGGAUAACUCCUGCAACUUCGGGCAAUGGAAGAUCUAUAAGGUCUGUAGAGAGGAAGGGAGACUGCUAGACAGUCUUUCCACAUUCCCCAUAAUCACAGCGGUCGCCAUGUCCAAGAACAACCCAUCCUCCUCUACUCCCUCCAGCGAAGACAUCUCCUUUCCUGCAGCAGGACCGUCCUUAAUUGGAGUCUUGAAAUACAAGUCCACAAUGUAAUUUGAGUCAUCCAUCACAUAAAGCUUCCCGUCUUCAUUCAACCUUAGCUUUGUUUCAUGCCCUUCUUCAUUGAACAACCCUUGAAGUCGCACUUAUCAACAUCAGAAUUCCCAAAUUGAACAGCUUCUUGCAACAUCAAGAACUGAAUAAUAUCAUUACGAACCCCUGCUCUUCAGGAGCAAAAUCCUCUGUCGAUUCCAGUCGGAUUACAAAUAUGACUACCAUGUAUUAACAACGUGUUGUCCUCUUAAACUAUAAUUAAUGCCGAAUUUCUAUUCAACAGUAUUCAGGGUACUUAAAAGGCUCUUGCUUCUGUAUGUUCAAUUUCACAAGUAAACAAAACCAUCAACUUAACUUAAUUGUUGACUUAAAAAUGAAACACGGCCGAUUUUUGAAUUUUUUUUCCAAGACAUUAUCUUCGCAACAAGAUGAAUUGUCUAACAAUCACCACAUCGAAAACAUCUAAGAACAUCAUUUCAUGAUUGAAGAGUCCUAAUACACUCAUCUUAAAUCCACAAAGCAAUCACUUCGUAGCACAAUAAUUUCAUAAUUACGGGAAAAAAUCUGCCUUUUCCACACCUUCUUGCUUCAAAGUAGACUUGCCCCAAUACGUAACCUACUAUUGACAUGGUUUAAAUGGACCAAUGGAGUUCAGUAAUGAGACCACCUACCGGAUUAUAAGUGUAAUAGACAUUUCUCCAUACCCUGUCCUUGUCGUGGGAGAGCUGAAGGAAGGGCAGCGUGACAAAGCAGGAGAUGGAGGUGAGGACGAUGAAGUGGAGAGUGGAAGUAGAGGUAAUUGAGGUUCAGACAACAAGGGGGAAGGAGACAAACCUUAGUUACGCCCAAAAGCUUCAGCUCACUAAAAAUCUGCAUAACCAGAAAAAACACACUUGUUAAGUACCCAUAUAAUUUUUGGGUCUAAAAUUAAAAUACAAACCAUUUUCAAAGAGCCAGCUCAGAAAUUUAUAAUACUCCAUAAUACAACUUCAGGGGUUUCGCGAAUGAGGUCCCGAUACUGUUUCGUGCAUCGCUUUUGCAGAAUUCCACAGAAGAUCUAGAGUCUUUCUAGGGAGGGAGGGAGGCCAUAUUGGGGUAAAUCCCUCAGCUUCGGGCAAUGGAAGAUCCAUAAGAUCCGGAGAGAGGAAGGAAGACUUCUGGACAGUCUUUCCACAUUCCCCAUAACCACAGGGGUUGCCAUAUCCAAGAACAACCCAUGCUCCACCACUCCGUCCAGCGAAGAUAUCUCCAUUCCUGUGGUGGGACCAUCCUUAAUUGGAGUCUUGAGAUACAAGUCUACAAUGUACAUGUAAGGCUUCGUGUCUUCGUUCAAUCGUAGCUUUGCCUCACACUCUUCUUCAUUGAACAACUCUUCAAGUCUCACCUAUCAACAUUAGAAUUUGCAAAUUGAUCAGCUUCUCGCAACAUCAAGAACCAAAUAGUAUCAUGACGAACCCCUGCUUUUCAGGAGCAAAAUCCCCCAUCGAUUCCAAUUGGAUCACAAAUAUGACUCCCAUGUAUUGACAAUAGUAAUGUACUCUUAACUACAAUUAAGGCAAAAUUUCUAUUCGACAGCAUUCUGAGUACUUAAAGGGCUCUUGCUUCCGUUUGUUCAAUUUUACAAGUAAACAAAACCAUCUGCUCACAACUUCACUGAAUUGCCGACUUGAAAAAUGAAACGCAGCCGAUUUUCGAGUUUUUUCUAAGACAUUAUCUUCGCAACAUGAUGAAUCGUCUAAGGUUAACCACAUCGAAUCCAUCUAAGAACCAAAUUCACAAUCCGGAUACUCCAACAUUCAUCUCGACUCCGUUAACUGCAAUUAUUAUAUCUAACCUGUCGAGAAUAGAGAUUUCCACUCAUCUUGAAUCCACAAAGCAAUCACCUCCUAGUGCAAUAACUUCAUAGUUACUGGAAAAAAAAAUAAUCCACCUUAAUCCACCCUAUUUCAAAGCAGACAUGCCUUAAUUCGUAACCCUACUACUGACAUGGUUUAAAUGGACCGAUCGAGUUAUAAUAUCGAGACAUUUUACCAGAUUGUACUUCCAAGAAGUCACGUAACCCUUCUCCGUACCCUGUCCUUGUCGACAAGAGGGAAGGCUCUGGUGGGAAACACAAGGGGCGAUGGCGUCGUCGCGCUAGAGCUGAAGAAGCGGCGGCGUGAUAAAAAAGAGGGAAUAGGACGACAAAGUGGAGAGGCAAAGCAGCAUUAGGUGGCGAUGGAGGUGCAGACAAGACAACAGGGGGGAAGGAGACAAUGAUGAAAGAAGAAGGGUGGGUUAUUCUUGGCACCUCCCUAGCGUAGUUACACUCAAAAGUUUCAACUUUUUCAUCUAUCUGCUAAAAUUAUAUGAACUUGUGGGAUUUCGCGGAUGAGGUGCCAAUCGUGGCCGGUCUAUUUUGUGCAUCGCUCCUCUAGGAUCUCACCACAUCCUUGGAUGGAAACCAAGCCUGUAGACCUAGCCGCGUGCCAUUUCCAAUGAGAGUAACGAAUUACAGCAGAUACUUUGGCCUGCAGAGGAAGAGAAGAGUCAUAAGUUAUUCUCCUUAAGAAAUGAUUCUGGCAAGAUCCCAACAUUGUGUCACAAAUCAUACCAAGAAAAAUAUUAUCUCCAUUACCCACUAUAUAUCCAAUGUGGGGUUUCAAAAUAUUUCCGACUUUUAAUAAAUUCCUCCAAGCAUAAGUAGCAUAUGGUUCACAGUCAAGAUGAUAGCUAUAAAGCCAGGCAAAAUAUAGAGACCACACCUCUACAAAAUUCUCCACAGACACUUUAAAAUACAAGCAAGAUUUCACAAAUCCAGUCUUCGAAUGCCAAGGCCUCCAAACUGCUUAAGAGGACGGACAGUCCAUCUAACUUUUGCUCUCUCUUUAGCAUCAGGAUCUCCCUUCCAAAGAAAAGGCUCUACACUUAUGCUCAAUCAUUUCAAAAACUUUCUUGGGCAACAAAAAGAGUUGACACUAAUAGUUAACCAGACUAUGAAUAAUAGAUUUGAUAAGCUAAAGUUUUCUGGCAUAUGAGUGGCUUUUAAAUGUCCAAGCUUUAAAUCUUUUUGUAAUUUAAUGAUUUUAUGAGAGCCUUAUAAUCCUUGGUUGAGAGUCUUUCAAACAAUCCACACUUACUAAAAGAAAGAACCAACAUAGGGUUGGUUGAUUGGUCAUGCUGUUUAAUUCGAUUGUUGCAUGUUGUAUAAAUGCAGUUUUUAAAAACUUAAACUAUUAAGAAACGUGCCAAGCAAUGCCAAGAAACGUGCACGCACGCGCCCGCCCGCCCGCCCGCCCGCCCGCACCUUGCGCACGCACGCACGCACGGAAUGUGGACACAAUCACAUCAAUGAGAUAAUUGGGAAUUGAUAACAAACAACAUAACGGACGAUAAAUUUUAAACCAUUGGCAUGUGCUUUGAUACAAUACUAUAAAUAAACAAGUAGAAUGCCGACAAUAUGCUAAUCCUUCAGAAGAGAUUCUUCUUAGAUUAUGAUUAUACCACAUUAUCAUUACUUGUGUCUUUUAAACAGCCAGUCGAAAGAAACAGCAUAAACAAAUCUACUCACCCUUUAAACUUUGCCAACCAGCGUCUCCAAAGUCCAUGGUUAUGCAUCUUUAGUUCCAAAGCAGCUCCUCCUCCUCCUCCUAGACUUAACAUAGACCUUUCCAUGGGUCCUUACGCCGUACCAAGAAACUUCGUCAAUGGAAAUUCCAAUGUAAUCUACAAGGCGAGCAAGAUUUAAAGACUCCUGGCGAAUGGGCAGAGCACAUCAGAUUACGAAAAAGAAUUGGUGGGUGAGUGUAGAAAACUGCUGGAAUGGAAUGCACAAAAAUAAGCCGAGAAAUCCAAAUCCAAAUGCGACAGGUCCGUUAAGACAAAAGUGACUACGAGUAGAGGAGUAGUAAAUGGCAGAGAUCGAUCAAUACCUUGAUUUUUGAAUGGAAAUAUUAUGUCCGAGGCAUAGGAAUCUUUGGGAGAUGGGAGACAUGGGGUGAUCUGAGGUGAGGACGAUGACGGAGUGGAGAGGCGAAGCCUAGGGAGGCGAUUGAGGUGUAGAGACGACUGAGGGGAAAGCGGAGGUGAUCGAUACUAUGGAAUCUCCUUCUUCGAGAAGAGCCAAGGCUCAAAUAUUAAAAAUACCCUAAUCUCUUUCAUGUCGAAUAUUCAAAGUCCAAAUUCCUUUUUUAAGUAAUUGACUUGGAGUAGUAAUUACCCAAUGUGACUUUUGGGAUUUCGCAGAUGAAGGGCCAAUAUUUGCCGGUCCCUUCCCUGCAUCGCUCCUUCAGAAUCUCACAUCCUGUGAUCCAGAGAUGUUCAAGGGAGGGAGGGAGGCCCUCUUGGGGCAACUCACUCAGCUUGGGGCAAUUUUGGAUCUCUAAGAUCCGGAGAGAGGGAGGGAGACUGCUAGACAGUCUUUCCACUUUCCCCAUAUCAAAUAUACGGAGUUCAAGCAGAGAGGAAGGGAGUGGAAGCGGAAGGUCCUCCUCUCCUCCCACUCCUCCCACACUGCCGUCGAUCCGCAGAACUUGAAGGUAGGUGAGAGAGGUGAGCCACUCCCUCACCGGCUGCUUCAUAUUCUUGCAUCCACUCACGUUAAGUUCCUGUAACUGGGGCGGCAAUCCUCCAUCGGGGAAGCGCGUAAUAUUCUCACAUCCACUAAUUUUCAUACUUUGGAGACUCGUGAGUUGAUGCAACUGAUUAGGUAACAAUUUUAUCUUCGGACAAUCCCAAAGCCAAAACGUCGAGAUGCCGAGAGGAAGAGGAGGGAAGCACUCCAACUCCAGUGCAGGACACUCCCACAACCACAAGGAAGUGAGGUGAGAUAACAAUUGUAGAUCUUGUGGUAAGCUUCUUAAGUUCUCGCAAUAGAUAAUAUUGAUGCUUUGAAGUGAUUGAAGACGGUCUAUAGGUAUCUCCGCGAGUGACUCCACUCCCACACACCAUCCUAUUUCAAGUGUCUUGAGUGUCAUAGAUAAAUGUCUACUCUCGCUAAAUGGAGAGGCUAGUAGAGAAUUGCAUUUCCAAAUUUUUAAUUGUUGCAAACAAGAUGUCAUGUUACUGUGAUUAUCGCUGCUGCUGCUUGGUUCAUCCAUAUGAACACUUAAUCCUUUAGGUAAAGAUUGCAACAUCUUGCAAUCUCGAAUACUUAAUGAUAUCAAUGAUGCCAACAGGCCUGUUUCGGGGAAGGACACGAGUUUUGGACACUUCUCGACAAUCAAGUCUUGAAAAGAGGAAAGGGUGUAAAUCUCGCUUGGGUGCUUCCCCAAAUUGAUGCAAUUCUGUGUGUUCAUGGUUUCCAACUUGCUAGACAACUCUAUAUCUCCUUCUUCAGCUGAAAAGGAUAACAAUUCAGGACAACUUUUGACAACUAAGCUCUUCAGACAAGCGAGAUUCCAAAUUACAUCUCUCUCCGGCCACAAGUACAUCAAAUUUUUACAAUUGUCCAUCUCUAACUUCUCCAGCUUGACCAAGGAGCUUGUAAACCCAAAGUUCAAGCAAGUUAAUUCAACAUCUUGUAUGACAAGAGCGGUUAGAGAUGUCAAGUUUACCAAACUCUUUAGUACACCCACAUUACAACCUCUAAACUUUAAUUCAUUGAUGGAUGGAAGGCUAAUGAUAGAGGACGAGGCAUCCAUACGUGGACAAGAGUUGAUUUCCAGCUUUUUGAGGGAGCUCAGUUGACUAGGCAAUCUUCUAAUUAACAUAGGACAAUCCCGAAUGACCAAAUGCUCAAGACAAGGGAAUGAAACUCCUAUUUCUUCAUUGCUAAAGCGAUGAGACCAUUCCUCCCAUGACGGCAUGUCCUUGAAUUCCAGAGUCAUUAAGGACGGAAAAGGACUUUUGGUUCCAUAAAAUUCAGACCCUACCGUGCGUAGUGCAUUUAGACCUUCAAUGUAUAGUUCUUUUAGAGAAGAUAAUUGUCCCAAUGAGGCUAGUGCUUUGGCCCUACAACAUCCAUGUAAACGUAAAUACACUAUGUUAACAUGUGAGGGACUUUCUAACCAUGACGGGAAUUUUAUGCCACCAUAGUAGGAUAUCACGAGAUUUUCAAGGUUUUGGUGAGGGUGAAGAAAGUCAAGGACCUUUGCUUCAAGCUCCUCAUUCCGAGAAUUUUUAAAAUCUAGACUCCACUGCAUGGUCAAUCGACAUAUUCCCUCCUUUGUGAGUAAAUUGGUGUCCCUAGCAUCUUCGACUUUUUGAACCUUAUGCAGAUCAGAGAUUAACAAUUCCCCUUUGAGGUUUUUCAGGUUUUUUAACUCCUUCAAUCUAGACCCAUUUUCUGUUCCCACUACAAAUUUGGAUAGCAUCUCAAGACCGGCCAAAUUACUUAUAUACAACGGCAUCGCUCUUAGGCUUGAAGUGUCGGUAAUGUCAAGAAAUUUUAGAUUGAUCAAUUUCCCCAUACCUUUUGGUAAUUCGGAAAGGUUUUGACAACCCCGCAACAUUAAAGCCUCUAGAUUGUAUAAUGCAACAAUCGACUUUGGAAGCAUUUCAAUAUUGGUAUAUGACAAAUUGAGGUGCCUUAGGAGCUUCAAUUUGCCAAUGACAUCCGGUACCUUUCUAAUGCAAUAAUGACGUAAUGAAAGAACCCUUAGGUACUUCAAUCUAGAUAACAAGUCAUGUAGCACUUUCUCGGACAAAUAGGUUUUAUCAUUAUGCUUAAAUUGCUUCUCUAAUGAUAUGAAGCUCCUAAGUCCCUUCAUUCGAUGAUAUAUCUUGAGUCUUCCUGGCGUAAUGUGAUCGCUGGGAAUGAAUGAGGCGUGACGAGCAAAAGAUGCAUUGCUUUGAUUACCCUCAAACUCAAACUCCUCUGGGCUAAAAUAAGUUACACCAGCAACUAGCUUUGCAAGGUCAUUCACAAUAUCAUGCAUCAAGAAUCGUGAUCCGUUUAUACUCGACUUUUGAAAUAAUGAUCUAGAUACUAGCUCAUUAAAAUAAUUCAAACCUUCAUUCCAAAUGUCAUUUGCUUCUUUUACCUCCAACAAGCCCUCUGCAAUCCACAAAUGAAUCAAGUCGUCCCGUUCAAUUUCGUAGUCAUUUGGAAAUAUAGCACAGUAAGCAAAACAUCUCCUCAGAUUGGAAGGGAGAUGAAGAUAACUAAGUUCCAAAGUCGAAAGGAUCUCAUUUCUUUCUUUUAGUAGGUCCCAAAUUUUGCUAUUCAAAAUAGCUUCCCAUUCUUGGGGAUUCACUUUAGUACGUAGCAGCCCGGCCAAUGUUUUUACUAUUAAUGGCAACCCUUUGCAUUUUUCCACUAUUUUCCGGCCUAAUUCUUUUAGAUGUGGAUGAUGAUCAAAAUUUUGUACUCCGAAAGCAUGAUAUUCAAACAGUGUCAUACAAGCAUCUUGUGACAACUCUCCGAGAUAACAUGGUGGAGCAUCGGCUAAUGAAGCAACGCUGCUGUUACGAGUGGUGAGGAUGAUCUUGCUUCCCUUUGCUCCCGAUUGAAGAGGCUUUAAUAGGGUAGUCCAAUUUUCGUUCCAAACAUCAUCUAAAACAACAAGAAACUUCUUCCCCGAAAGGUCUUCCUUGAGCCUAUCUUGAAGCCAAUUCAGGUCCUUACCUUCAUAGGGUAAAAGGCAGCUGGUGUUCCUUAAGAUACUCUUUAUGAUAGCAAGCACGUCAUAAUCUUUGGAAACGAAAGCCCAUACUUUCACGUCGAAAUACUCAAUGACUCUAGCAUCAUGGUAAACUUCUUGAACCAGAGCUGUCUUCCCCACACCCCCCAUCCCUACGAUGGGUAUUACUUUUAGAUUUGCACAUGUUCUAUCGUCUUCUUCUCUGGUCAGUAAUUCAAGGAUCUUGUUUAUUUCAUUGUUCCUGCCAAUAAAACCAGGCUCGGGCAAACACGUGGUUGGAAACGGCUUUCGAUUCUCGUUGUUCUCUAUGAAGUUCAAAGUAUCUUUCCGAGUGAUGACAUCUUGUAGUUUGCCAUCCAUCUCUUCGAUCGUGGAUCUCAUUUUACGGUCCAACAUAAAUGCUCUUGGGCUCAAUUUGAAGCAACAACUCGGAAGAAGGGAGCGCACCUUGCUAUUGUCGAGUUCUGCCUCGAACUUAUUUUCCGCGGACUUUGUGGCGAACUCAUCAAGCAAGUCUUCGAUGUCAUAGGCCAAGUUCCUGAGAUCUUCGAGCCACGACUUCACCCCAAGAUCGCCGGUCAGUUGUCUAUCCUCUGCAUCAUCCAGCACCUGAUUGAUGCUGAGCAGCAUCUUCUCCCAUUUCUUCAGCAGCUUAUCGAUCCCCUUACGGCGCGCAAAGUUGAGCACCGCGGGAGAGGCCAACCUCUCAAACAGCACAGGAAGAAGGUCGCCAAGAAAGAGCUCCGCGGUGGGCAUGAUAGCUUGAUCCGGGAGCGGCGGAGGAUUAAACAAGAGUGCCUGAAUGGUUUGAAAGAAGUGUGCUGAGUGGAGAGGAAACAAAAGUCCUUACGUCCGGGACAGUAGCAUCAGAUGAUGGGUGUGAAUAAAAGACUUUUUAAGCAUUAAGUACUCUAGUCAGAUUCGAGGUGGCCUUUGCCUUAGUGGAGAUCUCUUUCAUCCAGUUACACUGAAAAAUGGACGUUGAGGCCACACUCUGUGUAAUGCGACAUUCGUUGAUUCUACCCGAGGUAAAAUGCCGUAAUGAAAGGCAGAUAGAACUUCAGCUUUUUAUCUAGUGGGCUGCCUUUGCCGCGUAGAUGGAAAGAUUCUUUCCGCAAUUCUAGUGCAUAUUGGCCCAAAUUGUGGGUCCCCUCCCUCACCGUCUCCAUCUUCACCGAGCCUGCGCGCUUCACCCGCUGUUCACCUCUCUUUUGUUUUCUUAUUUCCUUCUCCUAAUAAUAACAGACAAGGGGCCCAUUUCUUUUUCUUUCUUUUUUCAAUGUUUUAAACUUGUGCUAGCUAUACUGAAUUUGCGAUCAACAAAACUGUCGGCGGAGCCAAAAGGAAAAAGAAAGGCUUUAACUUUGCGGUCGUCGCUUGCGCUGCGAAAGUUGAGCCUCUCUUUGGAAUUGCCAGUGACGAGCUGGAACGUCGUGAAAUGCCCGCCGUUGAUGGAAGAAGCGGCUUGAGAAAACCCAAUUAAAACCCAUGGAGAGAGGAGAACAUAGACCUUCCCUUUUCCCAUCCUUCUCGCCUGCAGCCUCGCAAACCGACCUGGAGGUCCUAAACAUCCUGAACCAAAGAGAUGAGUAAUUGUACUCAUAUCCACGGCUAAUUUUCAAUCAAAAUGACCACCACUUUUUUGUUAAAGAAAAUACUUUUAGGGUGCUUAUUAAUCAAUUGAUAAAAUAAUGUAACUUGCUUUGUACUGAUUUUUCCACGUAACAUAUAUGACAAAAUUUCUGAAAGUGGAUACGUCAUUCUUAAGGAAAGUGAUCAUAUAUAUAUAUAUAGACCUAAUAAUUGCUCUCGCUUUCAAAAUAACUAGAAUGUGACCCAUGCAAGUGCAUGGGACCAAUUGAAGUUUACACAUCGACAUAUACAUCUUGCGUCUUAAAAUUUAGUACUUUAUUGUAGAAAAAACUUGCAAAAUGGAUAAAUAUGCUAUCAAUUUUAUAAUGACUGGCUAAUACUAGACUAUACAAAGGAAUCGGUCAAUACAAAAGAAUACAUAUAAGUCAAACUAAGAAUAAACAUGUCGGUAUAUUUAUGUUGAUUUUUGUUGUAAAAACAAAUGAUCGAACAAUAAUAAACAAGAAAACGAAAAAAGUAAAUGGGAUAUAGAAUAUAUUUGAUUUAGUCAGUAUGACUUAAUCCACGGGAAGAGUAGUAUCAUAUUGCCGCACGUGCCAUAUAAAACUGGACCAUCAUAUUAGCAAUUUUAGGUAAAAUUGACUGAGAUGAUUAGAUUUAAAACUCACACAAAGAUUUAGAAUAGUAUUAGCAAAAUUAAUAAAUUUAGGACUACAUUAAAAUUCACACAAUAAACAUUUUUAAGAUUGACUUGGUAAUUUUUCUAUUUGAAAUCAAAGUGGACGUGGUACGAUAGUUAUGACAGCGACAUCAUUCUUAACCCGAAUUUUUUGGAUGAGCGUUUGCAAAUUCAAGAUCAUACUGGUCUUCACGUGUCUCAUACGUCAAUUCGCAGUUUUAAAUGUCCACAGUCCACUACAGGUCCUAGGACAAUAGUGUCUACGGCUUCUUUAGCUUUUUCUCCAAAGUAACAGUAAUGUCACGAGUCAUUUGCAGUGAGAAACGUGAUGUGUUUCACAUUAGGACGAUCUUGGUCUUUUCACAACUUACAUGUCCAUCCUUUGAUUUUUUCAGUCAAGAAGUAGCAAAAGUCUCCGAAAUGAGGUCCGCCCUCCAGUAAGGACAAUGAUCUCCUUUUCCUUUUGCUUUUUCCAAACCACUGGCAAUAGGCCUAUUUGAUUCAGUUUUUGAAAAAUGACUUUGAGAAAAUAUAAAUAUUUUUUAGGUAAAAUACUAUACCAUUUGAUAUAUUAUAAUCUCAAAUAGCAUUAAAAAGUAAUUUUAGCACAAAUACUGUUUGGCAAAAUUCACAUUUAUAAUGGGCUUUUGCUAUUUUUUAUUUUAUUUUUAGUUUGAAAAUAAAAUCCCGCGAUCGGCUAACCUCCGACCAACUGCCGGACGGCCAGAUUUGGCCGUUUGAGAUUGCGACCUCAAGCGACAUCGUCGGUCGCAAAGGCUAGAUCUGGCCGUCAGAUGGCCAGGGCGGCCUUUGGACCAUUAAAUCUAGCGACUUGAGGUCACACGAGCUAGGUGGCAUCACCUGGUUCGAGUGCGCCAGGCAACGUUGCCUGGCUCGCGGGUCACGCCACCCCAAGCGGUGGUCAUCGAGGACUCGCGACCCCUAGGCAAUGAUGGCGAUUGCCGAAGAAGCUCAACUCUCAGAUGGGGAAGACGAAGAUGAACAGUGAUGCGGAUAAACAGUAAACUUGCAUUUCCAAAAUUUCGAAUAUUCAAAAUAGGUCCAGAGUUGCAUUGAGCUUUCAGCAUUUCUAAUACUGAUAUUUGGCCAAUGAGCUUUCAAAAAUGUUUGUCAAAUGCAAAAUAUUUUCCCCACCUAAAAUUCCUUGGAAAAGCAUAACCAAACGGGACCAAUAAUGGAUAUCCGUCCUUUGUUUUAUUCGAACAAGGAGUAGCAAAAGUUUCCGUAAUAAGGUCGUUACCAAAAAAGAAAAAAAUCCGUAAUAAGGCCCCCUUCAAGGACAAUGAUAUCUCCUUUUCCUUUUGAUUUUUCGAAAAGUGACAGCACUCUACGUUUGAUUGGACUGCCUUAUAAGGAAAUUACCUUUAGGGUGCUCACAAAUCAAUUAGUAAAAGUUUCAUUAUACUGAUUUUUCCCAGGAAUAGAUGUGAGGAAAUGAUGCACCACCUUCUUCUCAAAAGCAAACUGACAAAAAAGAUGUGAAAAGUCUGACCCGUGGUUCCUAACAGAUGAAUUACAGCUAAACACUAGGUCAAUUGCUCAUGUGACUGCAGUACUGAAAACAUAUCGUUUAAAGAAAUUUAGGGAGCCCUUUCUCUGUUUCUUCCGGAGAUAACUACAGGACUCUGCAGGCAUCAAAUCUUGUACUUGAAGUCAGAACAUUACAAUAUUGGUUUUAAAAUUGUAAAGUUGAUCUUCUCACACAGAGUUCAUAUAAACCCCGAUUGCAACAAAGCUUUUCUUGAUUAACAACUAGUUGCCAUUUGUUCUUUACCAAAAAAAACUAGUUGCCAUUUGUAGGGACUGACUUCGUUAUAAUGCAUGUGGUGCGACCUUAUUGACCAAAUCUGAGAGAAUAAACAUCCAAACAAGAAAAGAAAAAACAAGUUCUCGCAACUCAUGACCCAAAAACAAGUCAUCGUUCUCAGAUUUCACCGUUGAUCCCCUAUCAGAGAUGCCCUAAGAUGAAUUCUAGUGUGAGAAUGCACGAGUUCUAGUGUCCACAAGUUGUCACUUUACCUGAAUAACACGAGAUGACUCCCAAUAGAACUCUCUAAGGGCACGCAUGACAAAAUUUCUGAAAUAGAAAUUCUCAAUUUUUAUUCCAUAAACAAGUUUCUCAACAAAGAAACAUAUUUGAUAAUCAUUCAAAAUUUAUAUUUCUAGAGUAAAAAUUCGUUUGAUAAGAAGCAGCGACGGUCAGCAUUCGGUGGCCAGAGCCUGAUGUCCAGCGAUUGACGUCCCGCGUUCGAUGAUGGACGGCGGGUGGUCGGAGUCCAGUGUCCGGCGUCUGACAUCUGGAGGCCAGCGACUAGCGACUAGCGGCGAGUGGCUAACGGCCAAAGUCCAGCGGUCAACAUUCGAUGGCCGGCGACCGGCGGUCGGCGGCGGGUGGCCAAUGGUCAAAGUCCGACGGUCGACAUCCAACGGCCGAGGGUGAUUGACGGGCAGUUGGCGGGGGACGUUCGACGAUCAACGGUGGGCCUCCGGUGUCCGGUGGUUGGCGAUGAGUGGCCAACGACUAACGAGCAUCCAACAUCCGGCGGCCGUCGAUCGAUGAUGAGUGGCUGGAGUUCGAUGGCUGACAGUUGGUGUUCGGUGGCCGACGGUCGGUGGCGAGUAGCUAAUGGCCAGGGCCGGUGGCAAGCAGUCGACAACCAACGGCAGGCAUUUGGCAUCCCGCGGGCAACGAGUUGGCAACGGGCGAUGACGAGAGUGAACAAUGAAGAAAGUUUUGAUUUCUCAUUUUUGUUCUAGAAAUAUAAAAGUUAAAAAUUUUAACUUCUGAUUUCUACUCCAAAUUUAUUUCUGGAAUAGAAAUUUGUUCUAGAAAUAGAAAAAUGAAAUUACGUUAUCAAACGGAUUUCUGUUCCAAACCUGUUCUAGGGAAUAGAGAGACAGAGAAAUAGAUAAAUAAAAACGUUGUCAUGCGUGUCUUAAACCAAAGAAAACCAAGAUCACUCAAAGUCACCGAUGUUGCUGCAGCACAGCAAUACGAAGCUAAAUUAGUCCAAAAGCUUUCUGUGUAUCGUCUACAGCAAUACAAGUAAACAAUAAUUGGUGCUGACUGUUAAAGAAAGUUUAUAUGUCCCAAGAAAUGCUGACAUGUCUAUAAGUGAAUGAAAUCACGCAAAUGACAUUAAUGGGGCCGGGGAUUACAAAAUAUAAAACGGUUAACAGAGAGGAAAGGGAACGAUCAACAAUGGACAUUCAUUUCCUUCUGUCUUUUUUCUAACCAACUUUGAAGGAAGCAGUAAUCUAAGCGAUAUGGCUUGCCCUCAUUGGAAGCUCAAUUAGGAAUCUUAUUGUAAAAUUAGAAAGCCAGUAAAGGGUCAAAAUUUGGAUUACACAUCGAGCAUGUGAUUGAUGUGGUUAUCCAAACAAAAACAAGAACAGCCACUAUAAUAACGAUGGUGUUAGAAAGAUAGAGGAAAACAAUGUAGUCAUUACAUUUGCAUCCGGACCAAAAGGCAUUCUCUAUCCUAUAGGAGCAUGUCGUUUCUCACCUAGUAAGUGUGAAGUUCUACCACCAAGGCAAAUGUGAAAUAGCUUCUCCAUUCACAAUGGUGAUCCACUUCAACUGCUAGUAAAACUGCGGGAUGCUGGUUGUGAGAUCAGCGGUAUAAUUUUAGAAAAGGUAAAGUUGAAGUUAUUGAAAGAGUUUUCUAGUCUGCAUUAAACUCCUCUUAUACACUAUUUUCACAAAGUGACAAAUGCCGAUAGUUUGACAUAAUUGAAUGCGCGGGAUUAUAGAAAAGUAAGAUGCAUUGAAAGAAGGAAAGAUAAAAGAUCUUGAGCACAUCAAACUGUAGAUGAAAUGCAUGAGGUCUAAUACAGUGCAAUCGAAGCAGCAAUUGAACCGUUUUUCAUAAAAAUUGUACUAAAACAAGUAAAACAAAACAAAACAUAUGUUUGCGACCCGCUUUGGAACUAAUUGUGCGUAUAAUUUUUGGCAAAUAUAAUUCAUCUUCUCACCUCCUUUUUUUUUUUUUUUAUCUCUGGUCAAGAAUGGAAAAUAUUAAACAGCAACAUGAGUAAAUGGAUAUAUUAUCAAGGCUUUAGUCCAAACAACUUAAUAACUCAUUUUAAUAAGUUAACGAACCUUUUCUUUAUUAUAAUUCCAUUUACUUCCAUUUAUCAUAUACAUUUUUAGAAAAGUUAAAGCCACGUCAUCAGACUAGCGUAAACAUUUAUAUGCACAUAUCUUUCCAAGUUUCUGAAUAGUAAACUAUCACAUUGUACUAAACAAAAGCGACUUUUUCCUCAAGGCUAAAGUUUCGAAAACAUUAAAUAUGAUUUUUUAUUGUUUAUAUAACAAUGCAUAGACAAAUGUAGAUUCUUUAAGUGAUUAUUCUCAACUUAUUUAAAUUUUUCAACGAUUGUGAAAUAUUUUUAGUCGAAAAAACUGUAUAUAGACAAUAUAUAUCUACAUAUAUAUAUAUCAACACUGAAUUGCAUUAUUUCAAAAUUGAAAAACAGAAUUGAUCUGCCAUUAUGACAGCAUGUGCUUCUUGCAACUUUUUUUUUUUUUUUGGUGAAAGGUAAAUAGUGCUUCUUGCAACUUUAUAUAUGUAAAGUAGAAAAAACUGUCGGCAGACAAGGGGCCCAUUUCUUUUUUUCUUUUUCUUUUUUUUAAAUGUUUUAAACUUGUGCUAGCUACACUAAGGCCCUGUUUGGCAACGUGCCAAACAGUGACUGAUUCUGAUUUUUUGUUCCCAGAAUCAGUUUAGGACGAGAAUCGCGUUUGGUAAAAUUUUUGUUCUCGGGAACAAAUUUGUUCCUAGAAUCAGUUUGGGAGAAGAUUUGAGAAUAAAAAAAAAGUUGAUUCUGCAUCCGAGAAUCAAAAAAAGAAUCAACACAAUAAAACUCUUCUUCUUUCCUUCCACCAUCCCGCGACCGUCACCCGCCGCCAUCCGCCGCCGCCCACCACCGCCUGCCGUCGGCCGCCACCGGUCGCCGGCCGCCGGUCCGGCGAGCUCGCCGGAGGCUCGCCUGGCUAGGGCGAGGUCCGACAAGCUCGCCGGAGGCUCGCCCAGCCACCAGCGAGCCUCGCCGGGGCUGAGCGAGGCCCGCCUGGCCACCGGCCGAGCUCACCUAGCCUCUCCACCGGCGAGGCCGAGCCUAGCCCGGCCGAUGGCUAGGUGAGCCUCGCCCAGCCCCGGCGAUGCCCGCCUGUCCACCGGCGAGGCUCGGCCGACGAGGGCCAGUCUCGCCGAGGGCCGGCGACGCUCUGGUGAGGUCGCCGGCCCUCGUCCGGCAGGUUGCCAGUCCAGCGACCGGCCACAAGAAGAAGAAGAAGAAAAAUAGGAGAAAAAGGAAAAAAAAGAAAAGAAAAGUAAAAAAGUAGAAAAAAUUAUUUAAAAAUUAAAAAAAAAUUUGAACAGAAUCAAUAAACACGUUAUCAAACGCAAUUCUAUUCCAAAAUCAGAAAUUUUAGACAGUUACCAAACACGUUCUUUUACUUAAAAUCAGUUUCCGGGAACAGAAUAAAAAAUAAAUCAUUUCUUGUCAGAAUCAGUUCCCGGAACAGAAUCGUUACCAAACGCGCCCUAAAUUUGCAAUCAACGAAACUGUUGGUGGAGCCAAGAGAAAAAAAAAGGCUUUAACUUUGCAGUCGUCACUUGCGCUGCUAAAGUUGAGCCUCUCUUUGUAAUUGCCAGUGACGAGCUGGAACGUCGUGAAAUGCCCGUCGUUGGUGGAAGAAGCGGCUUGAGAAAAUAUAAUUAAAACCCAUGGAGAGAGGAGAACAUAGAUCUUCCGUUUUUCCCAUCCUUCUCGCCGGCAGCCUCGCAAACCGACCUGGAGGUCCUAAACAUCCUAAACCAAAGAGAUGAGUAAUUGUACUCAUAUCCCCGGCUAAUUUUCAAUCAAAAUGACCACCACUUUUUUGCUAAAGAAAAUACUUUUAGGGUGUUUAUUAAUCAAUUAAUAAAAUUAUAUAACUUGCUUUGUACCGAUUUUUUCACAUAACAUAUAUGACAAAUUUUUUUAAAGUGGAUACAUCAUUAUUAAGGAAAGUGAUCAUAUAUAUAGACCUAAUAAUUGCUCUCGCUUUCAAAAUAACUAGAAUGUGACCCAUGCAGGCGCAUGGGACAAAUUGAAGUUCACACGUCGACAUGUACAUCUUGUGUCUUAAAAUUUAUUACUUUAUUGUAGAGAAAACUUGCAAAAUGGAUAAAUAUGCUAUCAAUUUUAUAAUGACUGGCUAAUAGUAGACUAGACAAAAGAAUCGGUCAAUGCAAAAGAAUACAGAUAAGUCAAACUAAGAAUAAACAUGUCGGUAUAUUUAUCUUGAUUUUUGUUGCAAAAACAAAUGGUCGAACAAUAAAAACCAGAAAACAAAAAAGUAAAUGGGAUAUAUAAUAUAUUUGAUUCACUCGGUAUGACCUAAUUCACUGGGAGAGCAGUAUCAUAUUGCUGCACAUGUCAUAUAAGAUUGCCAAUAAUAACUGGACCAUCACAGUAGCAAUUUUAGAUGAAAAUUGGCUGGGAUGAUUAGAUUGAAAACUCACAUAAAGAUUUAGAACAGUAUUAGCAAAAUUGAUAAAUUUAGGACUACAUUAAAAUUCACACAAUAAUUUUUUUUUUUUUUUUUGGAUGAGCGUUUGCAAAUUCAAGAUCAUAGGGUCUUCACGCGUCUCAUAUGUCACUUCGUUGUUUUAAAUGUCUGCAGUUCACUAUAGGUCCUAGGACAAUAAUGUCUACCGCUUCUUUUGCUUUUUCUUCCAAAGUAACAUUAAUGUGGCGAGUCAUUUGCAGUGAGAAACGUGAUGCGUUUCACAUUAGGACGAUCUUGGUCUCUUCACAACUUGCACGUCCUUUGUUUUUCUCAAACAAGAAGUAGCAAAAGUCUCCGAAAUCGGAUAGAGAAUAUAUUUGAUUCAGUCAGUAUGACCUAAUCCAUGGAUAGAGCAGUAUAAGAUUUCAUUAUUAAUCAAGCAAUACAUUAGAGGUUAUGAUAAUGGUUGGUAAUUCACAUGGUAUUUAAUGUGUGCAAUUCCUUGCAAAACAACCAUUAAAUCUCACAAAGAAAUUACAUAAAUCUUACAAAGAUUUCAUAGUUGAUUGCUCAACUAGUGUUCAAAAACACUUUGAUGAAAAAUCUUUUUUAAGUAAUGGCUAAAAAUAAAUAUAUGUUACUUCGAUAGAAAAAUAUUUAUUAUUUCUCUUCAUUAUUGUCGUUGCUACCUAGAUUUACUCUUAAAGAUACAUCAUGCAUAAGAUGAGGGUGAAAAAAUUGAGUAGCCAUACAUCGAACUAAAUUGAGUUUGUGAUUAGAUAGUAUCUAUGAAUCAUACUCAAAAUUUGUCUAGGUCAUAUAAGUGCACAUACCAUAUAAGAUGGCCAAUAAUAAUUGGAUCAUUACAUUAGCAAUUUUAGGCGAAAAUUAGCUGGGAAGAUUAGAUUGAAAACUCACAAAGAUUUAGAAUAAUAUUAACAAAAUUAAUAAAUUUAGGACUACAUUAAAAUUCACACAAUAAACGUUUUUAAGAUGGAAUUGAUAAUUUUCUUGUUUGAAACCAAAGUGGGACGUGGUACUAUAGUUAUGACAGCGACACCGUCGUUAUCCCGAAUUUUUUUUUAUGAGCGUUUGCAAAUUCAAGAUCUUAUUCAUCUUUACGUGUCUCAUAUGUCAAUUCGUUGUUUUAAUGUCUGCAGUCCACCACAGGUCCUAGGACAAUAAUGUCUACUGCUUCUUUUGCUUUUUCUUCCAAGUAAAAUUAUUGUCGCGAGUCCUUUGAGUGAAAACGUGACGUGUUUCACGUUAGGACGACCUUGGUCCCUUUAACAACUUGCAUGUCCAUCCUUUGGUUUUUUUUCAGACGAGAAAGAGCAAAAGUCUUCCGAAAUGAGGUCUCCUUUUCUUUCGCUUUUUCCAAAAGUGGACACCAUUAUCAACAAUGGAUGUCCUUCCUUUGUUUUAUUCGGACGAGGAGUAGCAGAGUAGCAAAAGUCUCCGAAAUAACAUCCACCCUCAACGAGAAUGACAUCUCCUUUUCCUUUUGAUUUUCCGAAAAGUGACACCACCAUACGUUUUUUUUUUGUCAGAAUUAAUGAUAUUUCAUUACUAACUCGGUAUUUAAAAAAAAAAAAGGCACGAAAUAGUUGGAGAACACCACGAUUUUUUUCAGUCAAAACAACUAUGACUACUUUUUAAAGGAAUUACCUUUAAAGUGCUUACAAAUCAACUAAUAAAAGUUUUAUUGAACUGAUUUUUCCCCAUAACAUGUAGGAUUAUCUUUUUUUUGGGGGGAAAAAAAUCACCAAAAACCCGAAACUUUGUCCAAAGUAUCAAAUUUACCUUAAUUUUUUUUUUAUGAUAUGAAAAACCCCAAAUUUUGUAAACCGGACAUAUUUACCCCCACCAAGAGUAUUUUCGUCUUAUUUUUUAUGUUUUUCCUUUUUUUUUUCUUCUUCCCUCUUCCCUUCGCCGGCCAUGGCAGAGCCGAUGGAGAGAAGCCGGAGUCAAGCGAGGGCCGCCCUCGCCUGACUUCAAUGAGGGGUGCCCUCGCCAAUCCUCGCCAGCGUUGGGCGAGAGGUGCGGCCGUCCAUACCUGACGCAGGCGAGGGUUGAUGCAGGUGGGGGCCGCCCGACGCCAACGAGGGCCUAGUGAGGGCCACCCUUGCUCAACCCAACCAAGGGUCGCCCUUGCCCGACACCAGCGAGGGCGGCCCUAGCCUGACUCUGGCUUCCCUCCACUAUGGCCAGCGAAGGGAAGAGAGAAGAAAAAGAAAAAAAAUAAAAAAUAAAAUUAAAAGUAAAAUACCAAAAUGCUCUACAGUUUAGGGUAAAUGUGUUACAUUAAUAGAAAUUCAGGAUUUUUUAUGUCACGAAAAAAAGUUUUGGGUAAAUAUAUCACGAUUAGCAAAGUUCGGGAUUUUUCAUGUCACAAAAAAAAUUUGGGGUAAAUUUGUCAUUUUUAGCAAAAUUUGGGAUUUUUUGUGUUCUUUUCCUCUCUUUUUUCAAAUGGAUAUUACAUAAUUAAGUAAAGUGAAGAUAUAUAAUAAUUGCCCUCGGUUUCGAAACAACUAGAAUUUGAGCUGUACGAUUGCGCAAGAUCGAUUGAAAUUUGCACCUCAACACAUGCAUUUUGUUUCUUAGAAUUUGUUCCCUUACUGUAGAACAGAUCAUUUACAAAAUAUUUAAAUAUGUUAAUACUAGGUAGACCAAAAAAAAAAAAAAGCCAAUACAAGAAAAUACAUAUAAGUCAAACUAAAAAUAGACAUGUAAUUACAUUUAUCUUGAGUUUUGUUGCAAAAGAAAGAAGGAAUAGUAACAAUAAGCCAGAAAAUAGAAAAGUCAAUUAGAUGCCGAAUAUACGUGGCUUGGUCGAUAUGAUCUAGUACAAGGGGAGAAUAGCCUACUAUUAGUCAAGUAAUACAACAAAUGUUAUAACCACACUCAAGUCACUAAAGUACUCCCAAGUUUUCCCAAUCCUCAAUCCAUAACCCACAUAGUAUUCAGUCUAAACAAUUUCUAGUGAAACAAUAAAUAAAUCUCACAAAUGAAUCACGGAAAUAUUAUGAAGAUUUUCACAGCUAUCAAAAACUCGUAAUUAAUUAUCUCCGGACCUAAUUGACAAACAUAUGCACAGCCUUGCAUACUUUAGUUGAAGUGCCCACUCUACUUGGACAAAAAAGCAUACUAGAAACAGCCUACCAUGGAAGUGGAACAUAUGAUAAUUGCAAACUAAGUUGAGGCAUUCGCUACUCAUUAGCAAACAAUGACGCGACCUACUUUAUAGAAGCCAAAGGAUGCAAUUUAGAAAUUCUAGUUUCAUUUUGGCGCGACGUUUUUCAUGUUCUUAACUUCGUGGCGUUUUUUUUUGUUCUUAACUUUGGGACUAUGAUUUUACAUUUCUAAUGAAAAUACCAUCUUCUAUCAUUCCUUGCUCAGACCAUCAGCAUGGAAUAGGUAUUGAACUGCUCAAUGAUCUCAAGGUUAUGAGACAUGCAGGUCAGGCCUGCCGCCUUAAAACAUAAUACCAAUCCAUUCACAUCCAGAUCAGAUUUGUUAUCAAUUGGCUUUAGAACUAACUUUCUAAUGCACUAGAGUAGCAUGAGCUAUAGGACUUACUUAUCAUAAUUAUGCUUCGUCAAAUAUUACAAGGCGAUACAAAUUUGUUCAAUCUGAAUGAAAACAUAAAAUUACUUGGAGCGUUCAAUGUGGGUCAAGCUCCCUAGAAAAGAUUUUAGGUGGUAUUUUUGGGGGUGGAUUUCAACUUACAUCUUCAAUUCUUUUUUAUUUUAUGUGAGAUUUGAAAUGUCACCAAUUGCCGAGAGUUGCACCUUUUCAAGCUUACACAUCAUGACAAUCAUUUGCCACUUUCUUGGAUUGGCUGUCCAGUCCAUUCCCGAAUCAUAGAUCUAUCCAAAAUAAUAUUGCUAAGACUCAAAAUGCCACGAUAUAUUUAUUCUUCAUGUCCAUUAGAUGACUUAACUUAUGGUUCAACUGAGAGCCGACUCAAGUAACGUCACUUGUGAGAUCCACAAAGGCUUGGGUUAAAUUAUUUAUAACUAUCAUUGGAAGAAAAACGGAAAAAGAGAUUCGGUCUUGAGGUGACCAUAUGUAUCAAGAUCCACGAGUUCUUUAAGUCUUGAUUGCCGCUGCUUCCUUCAAUACUUGCCCAGCAAAAUGCUGAAAGAGAGAGUAAAGAAUGACGAUGAUGAUGACAACAAUAACAGAAGUACAAUUUGGUGUUUUACAUCCUUUUAUUCUUGAGGCAUAGGCACAAUUGCAUGAGUAAGAAUUGCAUAAUUAAACUACUAAACCAAAGUAAUCACAUUUCAAGAACUUCUAGAUCCCACACAAAUCUUAUUGAAAUAUAAAUUUUCACAUAGCUUCUACGCUAUAAUUAGGCUGCGCAUGACAACGCUUCUGUUCCCAGGAAUAGUUUUUUUUUUUAGAAAUAGUUCUUUUCUAUUUCUACUCCGGGGAACAAUUUCUGAGUAAAAGAACCUGUUUGGUAACGACACAAAAUUUCUACUUUUGGAAUAGAAAAAUAAUAAAAAUGUGUUUGGUAACGCAACAAUUUUUUUUUUUUUGUAUUUAUUCAUUUUUUAUUCUUGCUGACGGAUCGCCGCCGUCGCCCACCGCCCGCCGAUGGGCUUCCGGCAGCGAUCAGCGGUGACGAUCGGCGGUUGUGCAAUGGCGGCGGCUGGCGGGCGGGCGGCGGUGGCCAGCAAGUAGCGGUGGCAACUGGCGACUGGCGGUCGUGCAGUCGCGGCGGUUGGCGGGCGGGCGGCGGGCGACCAGCGGUGGCGGCGGCGGCGGCGGUGACCGGCGGCGGCGAUGACCGGCGACGGCGACGGUAGGCGGUGGCUCUAGGCAGUUGACGGUGGUCGCGGCAAGAAAAGGAAAUAAAAGAAAGAAAAAAAACAGCUUAUUUCUAUAAAUUGUUCUCGGGAACAAGAAGUAACUUUUUUUUGCUUCUCAAAACUGUUCCCGGGAACAAAAAAUUAGAGAAAUUGUUCCCGGGAACAAAUGUUUACCAAAUAAGUUUCUGUUCUUUUUUUGUUCCGGGGAACAAAAGAACAGAAAUUGAGAGAAACAGGAGCGUUACCAUGCGCUACCUUAGUUCUACCUACCAUGUUAUCCAAAGACUAAAUUGACAGAUAUUUUCUCCAAUUGCACCAAAACCAAGUCUUUUUUAGAUGAUGCACUUUGUAGAUCCGCAGGGAAUUCACUCAAUCUGGUAUCCUAUCUUAUGGAAGAGAAUUUUGACUUUGCAAUCCUUUGGCACAUGUCAAUUUCAUCAAAUUUGAGUCGGUAAAUAUGCUACCAUCUCAUUUGAUUAUUCAAAAUAUUUAGAAAAAGAUUCAUUUGCAUCUCAAUGACUAGAUAAAGUUCGAUGCAUAAAGAAAAUGUCAACAUUCGAUUUUAUAUAGUUUUACUUUUUAUCUAUCGUCUUUAUUUUUAAGCACGGAGUCAAUUGUUAAGGGAAGCAUAGUUUGUACUUGCUAAUCUGCAUGUUCUCACCCCUAAUUUUUUAUUUAUUUAUCUAUAAUAAGCUCUACAGUCCACUAAAUGUCCUUAUUGGACAAUAAUGUCUCCUCUUUUUGUUUUUCCCCCAAAGUUACACUAAUGUCGCGAAUCAAUUACGGCUAAAAACGUGCCUCGUUUCACAUGGACAUGAGACGUUGGAUUGGAUGAACUUUUGUGGAAUUAGGACCCUCUUUGUCUUUUCGUAUCUUACAUGUAGAUCCGUUCUUUUACUCGGACAAGAAGUAACAAAAGUCUAUUUAAUAGAGUCCACCGUCCCCUGCAAGUCCUUACAGGACAAUAAAUGUCUCCUUUUUCCUUUUCUUUUUUCAAAAGUGACACUACAACCACUACUCGUCUUUUGAAGGAAUCACAUUUAGAGUGCUUAUUAAUCAAUUUGUAAGUUUUGACUGUCGCUGUUUCCUUCAAUUCUUGCUCAGCAAAAUGCUGAAAGAGAGUAAGAAUGAUGAUGAUGACGACGACAAAACGAUCAUGCAAGUGCAAUUUGGUAUUUAACAUCCUUUUAGUCCCAAGCCCGCAAGUGUUAAACUAGUACAAAUACACGAAAAGUACACUUAACAUAUAGCCAUAACUGCACAAAUGAGUAUUACAUAAAUUAAAUUUACUAGAUCAAGGUAAUCACAUUUCAAGAAUCUCGAAAUCCUAUGCUGAAUCUUACUAAUAAUUUUCACAUAGCUUCUUCACUUUAAUUAAUUCUGUCUAUCACAUUACCAAAAGACUAAAUCUAUGUAUAUUUUCUAUACCAACUUACAAAAGAGAGUUCCAAGUUUGUUGUAUUCUAAUACUUGUCAUUCUCAUCGAAUUUGGAUUUGUGAAAAUGGUACCAUCUCAUUUGGUUAUUUGUAAUAUUUUGGGAAAGGUCCAUUUGCGUCCUGGUAGCAUUGACACCUAAAUUAUCGUUGAAAAGUCAAACAUACCGUUUUUUGUAAAAAUAAAAUAAAAUAAUGAUGGUAAAAAAAUUAUGAUAAAAAGAUUUAAAAAAAGCAAAUAAAUAAAUGAAGCACCAGGACCAUCAAAAGCUCAUCACUUCAGCCCGGUCCGACCAUAAGAGUAGCCCAGACCACUAAGGAAGCCCAUCAAGCAUCUGGCCCAAUUCCCUUAAGCCCAUUAGAUCUACAAAAGCAGCCUAGGCCACACCAGGCCCAUUAAAUUCUAAUAAAACCCAUUAAGCCCAAUUCGUGGAAACCUAUAAAGAUUUGAAUUGAGCCCGGUCCACCUCAUCAGAACCGCCCCCCUAUUCCCACAUCUCUCUCUCUAUCGCUCUGAAUGUUGGAAACGAACUCACGCACGUGCACUGGGCUCCCCGAAGGGAAAUUUGCUGCAUUACAAUGUUUAAUCGCCUCUUUUGUUCGUGCCCGAGACCUUACCAUUAUGAAAUUAGCUCAUUAACAGCUCAUUUGCGUCGCUUUCCUCGUUGACUAAGAGAUUUACGUUGAUCGUUUUUUGCUAUAUUGGCAUUCCCUAAGUUCUUUUGUCUUUCAUUAAGAAUGAAUCUAGGCGCUAUGCACUUCAAUACAUUUCUGCCUUGGUUUAGAUCUAUGUUCAGUGUUCUCGCAACACAAAUCCAAUUUUGAGUAUUGCUGGAUUGGGGUAAGAAUCUCUUGUAUGGAAUUGGAUUGAAUCUGAUAUGUUUUCUUUGAGUCCACAUGUUGAAUUUGCAGGAAGAUCUACUGUUCAUGUUGUGGGAUAAAAUUAUAGUUCAUUUGCUGAUACAAUGAGCUGAUGAAAGAAGGAUAGCUCAUUAAAGAAGGAUGGACUUCUGAAAUGAGAAUUGAUUGGUGUUCUUCUUGAUUCAUUUAUACACCACGGUUCGGGUCCUUCGAUUCUCUUCAAUAUUGAUUUCUUGUUAUGGUUUUGUCAUUCAAGAGCCUCAGCCACAAACCCUUCUAUUUGACUCGGACUUGAUCUUUUCUAACUUACGUUGCAUUAUGCCUAUGUUUAACGUAAAAAUAACAUUGUAAUAAAUUGAAUGUGGUGAUUAAAUUUUUGAGUAAGAUGUUGAUAGUUACAAAACUAAAAAGUUAAUAUAUCCAGAGCUCAUUGUACAGUUUAUUUCUCACUUUACAAUCUCUUUGUAUUAUAAGUUUAUCGUGGGCCUUAUCUUUUAAAUUUAGAUUUUACUCAUGUCUUCUUCUUUUUUAGCACACGCAAGCCCUUUUUACAGUAAAGUCAAAAGAUAAUUCCAUCCAAUCGAAUGAGUAUUGGCAUUUAAUAACUAGCUAAUUAAGGGUGCGAUAAGUUAAAAAUCAAAACAAGUAACAUUCAAUCGACAUGACUCAGGUCCAACUCAUAUCUACCCAUUUGACAGCCCUAAACUUUAUACCAUGUGGAAUGUCAUCUUUGGACAUUCAAUUUGUUCAAUAUAAUCAGUAAAAGCUAAAUCUAGUCCCUAAAUUAUAUGAAAAAUGUUCAAUGUUAUUUUUUCAUUAAUUCAUAUUAACGAAAUAUAUUGAUAUGGCUUUCAAUCCAUUAUGUUUGAAUGGUGGGCAACAAAAAUUGACCCAUGGAUUACCUAAGUAAGAUAUGCAUCUCAAAUCACCAUUGAAAUGUUAACGUCCUUUUUUUAUCCUUCCUUUUCACAGUUAGAUGUAUAAAAGAUUGAUACAUUGACUCAACGUUUUUAAAAAUUUAACUCGGGAUAUAAUAAUUUAGGUUGUUUAAUUUGUAGUUUGAGCAAAUGGAAAAAUUGCAUCCAACUAUUCACCAAUGGUUUAGGAUCAAUUUGAACAAAUUAAAGGUAAAGGGACUACAUUGUAUUGAGUCGAAAUUCAGAAAUCAUUUAUGUCAUCAUCUCGAUGGUAAGUGACAUUCUAACUAUCUUUAAUUUAUAUUAUUAGAGAGAAAAUUUGACACCAAAUUAUUACCCAUCUCUACUACAUACUUCUUCCUUGUUAGCAUCAAUAAUAAUCCUUUUUCUCAUGAGAGUUAGGGGUGUGCAAAAGAACCGAGACCCGCCCGAAUCGCCCGGAACUGAUGGUUCUUGAGGGAACCGGAUCCGGUUCCUGAUUCCAAUUUAUGGGAACCGGUGGAUACCAGUCCGGUUCCCGGUUCCAUGGUCAGAUCCGUCCACCCGCCCACCCGGACCGGACCGAUUAUAUUAAAAUAAUAUAAUAAUUUUUAAUGUAAAAAAAUUGAAAUUACUAAUUAACAAACCCAAAUGAAAUAACUAAAAAAAUUAAUUAAAGUGGGUAAUCUCCGGUCAAACCAAAUGGAGAGGUCCUAAUAUAAAAGCUAGUGUAGUUUCUAAUAUAUGACAUCCCAAAACUUAUUUUUUCUGACAACAUUGAGAUGAUUAUGAAAAUUUGGUUAUAUGUGUUAUUUAUCUACAAUUGCAUGUAGUUAUUACCUUUGCGACUUGAUAGUAAUUGAAGUGCUCCAGUCUUGAUCUUCAAUAUUUUGGAGUAUUAUUUGAAAAAGGUCUAACACUGUUCAAGACUGAAUUAUACUUGGCAGAUGAGUUACUGUGAUUAGUGACUGUUCCUUAAUGUAGGAUGCUCCUUCCAUGACUGAAGAAGUUUCCUAAUGCGAUUCUAGAAUAAGAGAAAAAUGGUCCGUUUUUGCUCUUUCCUUUAUGCAAGUUUUCUCACAUUAAAAAGUAGCUGUAGAGGUUUUUUUUUUUUAGACAAAAGCUGUAGAGGUUGGUUAAUUGAUUAGAUUGUUGUUCUAAAUUUCUUAUAUGACCUCUCUUUCAAAAGCAAUCAUGUUUUCUGCAUCCAAGACUGGUGAAGAGCAUAUAGAAUUGAAGUUAUUCCCUGAACCUUUAUGGAAGAAAAGAAAUGAUAAUUUUUAGUUCAGUCAAUUAAUCUCUCAAAUUUCUCUUCUCAAUCUUCUAAAUCUUGUACUUUAACUUUGCUCUUGUUUUUGGUCUAACAUCUAGACACCCAUUACAGCAUUAAUUGGAACAUGUUGAUAAUCCACUGAGUUCACUGCCUAACCGUUAAUGGAUAAAAUUUUAUUUUAAUCUUUUGUAGAAUUUAUUAUCUUCAAGUGGUCAUGGUUGACUCAUCUUUUGAUUUUUGCACUUUUGUUAUAUAACAAUCUGGAAAUGGCAAUGACAUUGACUCAAAAUUAUGUUUUGAUUUCUAGUUUGUAGCUUUUGGUUUUUAGUAUAUUACUUGAUAUGAAGAGUUCUCAUAGUGGGAUUUAGAAAAUGUUAUUAUUAUUGUGAGACCGGUUCCAUGGAUCCACCUGGGAACCAGACCAAACCGGCGGUCCGGUUCCCGGGUGGAUCCAUGCAAUUAACGGGUGGAUCCCGGUUCCAAUUUUUCGGAACCGAUCUUUAGCGGGUGGUUCUCGGUUCUAGGUCGGGAACCGACUGCCCGGACCAUGCACACCCCUAAUGAGAGUUAUUAGUGCCUUAGAAUAUUUUGUUCGAUGUUGAAUGAUUAGAGUAUGUUUAUAUGUUCAAUAACUAGUAACUGUAUUGCUUCAGAUUAAAAAAAAAAAAUAGAUGGGUUUUUUUUUUUUGAAAUGUUAUUAAGAAAUAAAUGUGUUCAAUUUUAUUAAUUCUAACUAGUUGUCUUGAACGACAUAGCAUGCAAGCAAGAGGUGUCAACCAACAAGAAGAAAGCAUGUAUUAGUUAGACAUGACAAAAGUUAUCCAACAGAAAUAAUGUCCAAUAACAUUUAUUAUUUGGUGCUUCCGAUCAAUCAAGAAAUAUUUAAAUAACAUUUAAGACAUUGUUAACACCAAAAAAAUGAGGAAGUUUUGUUUUUUAAUUAAUAUGAUUUCGAUACAUAGCACAGUAUUGAACAAUUAUAGCAAUCGAUAAGAUAUCAACGGUAUAGAAGCUCGUCAUGAGCAUGAAUAUUAACAAUUGACAUGACAUCAAUAUGAAGCGAUUGUACUAUCGAUAAGAGAUUGAUGGCAAAAGAACUUCUCCAUAAUUAUGAGUAUUGAUGACGAAGUUUUUUUUAUCGCUAUAUGAUGACUAUUGGCCGACGAUUGGCACUUAAAAUAAAUUUAGUGUUUGUUGAAAGUAAAAGUAAAGAUGAGAAAGACGCCGAUUGAGAAGCUAUAAACGGUUGGACAUGCAAUUGUAGAAAAUAAUUGUGAAGCCUUAGUAGCCACUUUUGUAGCUGAGCCCACUGACAGUCGAAAGUUGCAACCAUUUAUAGAAAAGAUGAAUGCGCAGUUAUGAAAUUUGAUCAUGGAGCCGAAAAUCGUGGAUAUGCGGUUGUAACUUUUAAUUUGAAUAUUAACCACUUCUAAGCAGUUAUUUUGUGUAAUAGGCUAUAUAAGCCGUGUUGAAUCAUUGUAAAGAGUUAACGAUCAUCAACGCAAUCAAUGCUUCUUUUUAAAUUUACCAAUUUUAUGUUCCACUUCUUGCAUUUACUUUUGUUUAGAGUAAUUGCUUAUGAUUCUGGUUCUUCACUUCAUGUCCGAAUAGCCAAGUAAUCCAAUUCAAAUAAUAACAGAAAAAUUGACCUUGAUUUAAAGAGUGUCUCGUCACAUGUGGAGUAAUCUCUGGUGAAAUAGAUGCGAAAUGCUCAUUUAGCUAAUUUAAGAGCAAAAUAUACGGCCAACUAGUGAGACGGUGUUCAGGCUCUUUGAGCAUAAUACUGUGACUAGUUAGGUUUAAUCGGGUGAUUAUAAAAUACUUCGAGGGGACAAUAUAUACUUAUAUUCUAGAGACUUUCUGCAUUUAAUAACUAAGUUAUAGAUAGGGAUAUUAGAACUCCACCAUCAGAUUAAUGAUAAAUCUACCGUCGUAAUUGGAGAGAUCCAUUUAUGAAUAAGAUGUUUCAGUAUCAUCUACAAAUCCUUUGCGAUCAAGCGUGGCUUGCACAGAUCCGGAUCUCAGUCAGCACCAAGGUACGGUACUAAGAAAAGUUUAUGACAUUUUUUUUCAUUUUUUCUGAAACAUUAAUGUUUGGCACGCAUUCAUGUAAUCCAUAUUUUCAGAAGGCAAAAAAAAAAAAAAAUGAGAGUGAUUUUCGAUCGAGUGUUGUGAUAUUUGCUACGUAAAUGAUGGAGAUUUGGUUGUUCUGUAUCGGAAUUUGGAGGGUUCAGUGUCUUUCCUGUCAUGAAUUGUAUUCUCCUGAUUAAGUGGCUUGUUUCGUUGUUUGUACCUUGAUCGAAGCAGCUUUUAUGGUAGUUACACGCGGAGAGAUGUGACAGGUUUAUCGUUAUUCGAUGCUUUAUUGAUGAUUCUGGGCCUAUCAUUGUUCUUUCGCAGAAAUUGGUGUCGGUUUCCAUCCGAAUCUCGGACGAAUUAUCUUCUCCGAGGUAAUAUAGGGCAGUCAUGUCUGAUCUUUUGCUCCGUUGCUUUUGAGCUCUGAUGCCCAUCGACGCUGCGACCCUCUGAAUCAUCGGGAGUCCCGAAGUUCCUGUGGGUUGUAGAAGAUAUGGGUUUCGCAGUUACCCCAACAGAGUUCCAUAGCCGAUGCAUGCCUUCCGCAUCUUCUGCAUCGGCAUUCUAAACUAGCCAGCCGAAGUUCUGGGCGUCCUUGUAUCGACUGCUUUUCAAGAGAGACAGGAUAUGCUUUUUGGACAAGUACCUCAAUCAAGUGCGAUUAUAAUUACCGCCCGCCAAAUGGUUUAUCUCGGUGUUUGAAGAAAUGUGGACUCUUUUCAGUGUUGGAAGAUUUGGCUAUCGAUGGUUGUCAUCCUGAUAUGAAUAUCCACAAUUUGCUUGUAAAUUUUACUUGCAAGCAGGGGAAUUGUGAAGAUACUGCUCUACUUAUGCACAAUCUAUUAUCUCAUGACAUGGAACCAAGCACUAUAACUUAUAACCCUCUCCUCAUUUGCACCCGUGGCGUGUGGAAUGAAGUAGAUGAUGAAGUUCUUACAAUGAUGAGUCAAAUUUUACGUCCUCCAAUGGUUUUACUUACAAUAUUUUGAUCAAUGGUCUGUGUAAAUUUGAAUAUCUAGGCCGUGUAAUUGACUUGCUUCGAACAGAUGGUUCAGAAAGAGUGUUGCCCCUGAUAUAAUAACAUAUGACACCCCUCUACGUGUGCUUUGUAACGGCCAUGACGACGUGGAUCUCACGAUUAGGUUGGCUAGCAACGUGGGCUGUCAAUUAGUCCAAACUGACUGCAAGGAUAAGAUCGCUUCCAAUCAAAGAUCAUUUUCAUUGCUAUGUUUGCCUUUUUCAGUGCUUCAACUCAGAUGCACGAGCCACUCAAUUCGCUAAACCUCUCCUAUGCCUUCCUGUGCUCUUCUUUACCAAAUAUCUCCAUGAAUGCAUUGGCCAACAUCAAAGCAAAACUCAAUUGAAGUUACAACGAUUUCAUUUGAGCAAUUCAUGACCAGCCAUCACCUUCUUCACCUUCAUCCAUACACAGAGUUACUCAGCACAAUGGAUGCACGCAUAGAGGUGGACUUUCCUGAAGAUUUGCUCUCAUUCAUUUGAGAAGCUCACUUACCCUUGCUUUAGAGGGAACUUACAUCGAUGCUCACACAUCGCACACACACUCUUCUUUCUCGUCUUCACCAGUGUCCAUCUCUGACCAACACCCUUAGGAAGAGGGGUCCUUGCAGAAAAUCUCUGUAACAAUUGAUAAAUGCCACUAUUUGUAUUAGAAAUAGCACAUCAGUAAGGAGCAAAUGACCAUUCCAAAGAAUAACAAGAAGAAAAUUCAAGAGGAAGAAAGAUUGACCUUCUCACAAUCAGGCUCAUCAUCUGAACCGUUACCAUGUUGGUUAUACUUGCUCCAAAGACUCUGCCUGAGUGACCGCGUAACUUUUUUGACAUCAUCACUAUCAACUUCAGCUUUUAGUUUCAGUGACUACUACUCAGAAGAACUAGCUGAUGCUGAGCAACCAAUAAAGCUGCCGACGUCUUACAAUUCUCGUUCUUAUUAUCUUGUUCCCUCUCUAAUUUAAAUGAGGAAAUGCCUCAAAACUGGAGGAACCAAUGGAAACUCAUCAUUCUCUUCUUUAAUGCCCUUUUUUAUGAGUGUCUCGAUCAUUCUCUGAACACAGGAAAUUGACAGAGCCGUCAAAACUUAUUGUACGGACAGAGUGGAUAGCACGUGCAUCAUUAAGAAUUAGCUCAUGCAAGUAAUGAGGAUUUGAUCUACAGUCUAUUUUCCUGUCAAAUUCUGCUAAGAAGAAAAGCAAGACAUUGAUGCCCGGAUAAUACAGCUAAACUAACAGAUAGGGCGACCUAGCUAAUCCACGAAAAGAACAAUGACAAGGGUAUUCAAGAUUGUGAAAGGCAAUAGACUAGAAACUAUGCAGUAAGAUGAACUAUGAAGAGAAAAUAUGGCAUACAGAUAACAAGGUUCUCUAUCUUUAAAGAUGCCCUGGAUCAUCGACACACGGAAAACCAAUGUGCAGGAAAUCAACAGUAACUAUGACAAACAACGGGGAUGGUCUCUGCAGAAAUAGGAAACUGCUGUCAUCUUGGAAAGAUAAGCAGCAUCACAACCAUGCAGAUUCAUCAAACAAGCCGAUAUUGAUUCUUUUGAAAUCUGGUAGCUUCAAAGGUGUCAUUCGCAGAGAGGAAAAAAGAAUAGAGUAAUCACAGAGAAUGGCGGAGGUAUUAGCCCCACUGAACUUCAGAGGACAUGAGUCAAUGGACAAGUUUUCCCUUCAAAGGACCCUGUCCACAAAGUUAUACCGACUGCUAUCUCACAUCAAACCUUAUUCACAACAGUCUAAAUCAAGUUACAGUACAUACCGUUUUCUUUUUAGGAGAAGAAAUUAACACGCAUGUGCUAACACUGUAAUUCCAAUGGCUGCCAUUGUGGCAUGCAAUCUUUAUCCAGUGCAAGAAGUCUACCCUAAUGCCAAGCACACUCCAGACUCUGGAACUGAUUCUACUCAUAGAUAUGACAAGCUUCACAAGAUUCAGUAGUCGUGUCUCAUUCAAUCGAGCUUUAAACAGCACUGAACCUCAGCUAGGUGUUACCUGCCAACUCUAAUCAUAUCCACGUCACCCUAUAACUGCAUCAUAUCAAUUGCAAUCUUUAGGUACUCUACUGCUAUGUGUUGAGAACCUGGCAAAGCUUAGCAAUCACUUUGAAGGCUGUUAUCUCGCUUAUGACAAGGAAUUGAAGGCACUGAUGCUCUCUUGAAUAUCCAAAUUAGUCAGAAAAACACCUUGAAGACAUGCCAAUUUUCCUCUAAAACACCAAGAGAGAUAAUGAAGCGAUGGGGAAUGAUUCAUAUCUUCCUAGAGCCAGCUGUGACGUGGAUCAAGUUCUAGCAGAGGAUGCGGAUGCGUCGAAACACCAACAUUUUCCCAACGUUACAUGAAAUCAUCUCAACGGUUGAGAAAUAUCUUACAAAAUCAAUCAAUUAAGAAAUUUUUAAAUAAACCAAAAACCAAUUAAGUGAUUUUUAUUGUCUCCGAACAAAAAUGAAAAUACACGAACCCAAACGGUACCUAUUUUUUGAGAUGGGAAUUACACCACAAAUAUAAUGUGAGCAUGGAUUAAAUCCUUGUUGAUCGGAUUACAACGUUCAAGAUUAUUAUAUCUUCCGAUAAUUAUGUUUGACUAUUUCGUUCGCAACUAUUUGGGUAGCAACAAUAUAAAUACAUUUGAUGACUAUUUCGUCCGCUUGGGAAUGAAACAAUAAUCGCAUCCGAUAAGACUAAGUACGACUCUGAAAAGGGAAAACUAGGAAUACCCUAGUAGCAAUGAAUGAAUGCAAGAUUUUCCUAGUGCUCAUAUGUGCUUGUUAAAGUGCAAUACCGUAUGAUUUACUAGUAAUUACAGGCGGUCUUUGUAAUUCUGAAAAAUGUUCUUACAUGUUGUCGAAGACACAAGAUUCAUUCAAGUAGAACAAAGCAAACUUACGAUUUUAAAUGCUUUAAAGCCCAAUCUGAUGCCAAUCACAUCUUCAUGGGUGUGCUCAACAACCUCACCUGCUUGCAUACUUUAUUCAGAAUAAUUUAGGUUCAACAACCCAUUUCACGUAAUCGACUCCAAUUCAGAAAUACCCAAUGUAACUUGAGGGAUUUCACGGACGCAAGGCCAAUAGCGGCCGUUUGGUUUCGAGCAUCGCUCCUUGAGAAUCCCACUUUCCUUGAUCAAGAGUCUUUUUAGGGAGGGAGGGAGGCCAUCCUGGGGCAAUUCCCUAAACUUCGGGCAAUUGCUGAUUUCUAAGGUCCGGGGGAGGUAGACUACUACAGAGUCUUUCCACAUUCCCCAUAUCUUCGAUUUUGAGAUAAAGCAGAGAGGAAGGGAGCAGAAGCAAAAUAUCCUCCUCCUCUCCCACUCCUUCAAUGCUACCGUCGAUCACCAUAACUUGAAGAGAGGUAACGGGGUAACCCACUCCCUCACGGCACUGUCCUUAACCGGGGAAACUGGGUCAACCUAUGAUUGAGGUCAGUGUCGUAAAGCGUGUCAACUCAAUUAUGGGCAUUUAACCCACCUUCACUCACUUCAGGCCUGGGAGACUACUAUACUUGCCUAUCCAGUAGUAGCCAGAAUUGAAAUCAUGACGUGGUAUCUAUCUUUACCAUCGUGAAGCCCCUUAAUUCUCUGUCUAUAUUUAUCUUCCUGACAGAGAGGGAAGAGGAAAACAGCACGGGGUCUUUCACCCCAAGGUGAUUCUCCUGCCUGUUUCCUCCGUCACCGGUUCUUCAUAUUCCUACAACCGUCUCCUUUACCUUUUGCUUUUUCCGAAGCGACACUAAUGUCACUGAUGGCCGUGCGAUGGACAAGAAAAAGUUGAGGAUAACCACGGCUUUUUUUCAAUCAAGAUAGCAACAACUUGUCUUUUAAAAGGAUUACUUUUCAGGUGCUUAUUAAUCAAUUAAUAAACGUUUUAUUGUACUGAUUUUUCCCCAGACCAUGUAGGAACCAUUUUUUGGAAAAUGGAUAUCUUAUUAUUAAGUAAAUUGAACUUAUACAUUAGAAUGUGACAUGUGUAAUUGAGCAGGAUCAAUUGAAAUUUACAUCUCAGAACUUACAUUUUGUUUUUGGGAAUUUGUUUCAUUAUUGUAGAAGAGAUCAUUUGCAAAAUAUAUAAAUACGUUGCAAAUUUCAUGAUGACGAUAGACAAAAAAAAAAAAUCAUCUAAUAUAAGAAAAUACGUGCAAGUCAAACUUGUAAUAAAAAAAUCUACAUGGCAUGACAUAUAUUUAUAUUAUAUUUGCAUUUAAAAAUAAAAGCAAUCGAGCAAUAAUAAAUCAAAAUACAAAAAAGUAAAUUGAACAUCACAUUACGUGAUUCAGUUGGUAUAACCCUCUCCUCGGAAAAAGCAACAUAAAAUUCCACUAUUAAUCAAGCAAUACAAUAAAAGCUAUAGUCAUGCUCAAGUUAUUACACUCAAUAACUCACGGUGUUUAACAUGCAUAUUCCUUGCAAAAUAAUCGCUAAAUCUUAUCAGAUUUCACAACCAUCAAACACUCAAUGAUUAAUCUCUCCCAAUAUAUUCACAAACUUAUGCAUAGCCUNNNNNNNNNNNNNNNNNNNNNNNNNNNNNNNNNNNNNNNNNNNNNNNNNNNNNNNNNNNNNNNNNNNNNNNNNNNNNNNNNNNNNNNNNNNNNNNNNNNNNNNNNNNNNNNNNNNNNNNNNNNNNNNNNNNNNNNNNNNNNNNNNNNNNNNNNNNNNNNNNNNNNNNNNNNNNNNNNNNNNNNNNNNNNNNNNNNNNNNNNNNNNNNNNNNNNNNNNNNNNNNNNNNNNNNNNNNNNNNNNNNNNNNNNNNNNNNNNNNNNNNNNNNNNNNNNNNNNNNNNNNNNNNNNNNNNNNNNNNNNNNNNNNNNNNNNNNNNNNNNNNNNNNNNNNNNNNNNNNNNNNNNNNNNNNNNNNNNNNNNNNNNNNNNNNNNNNNNNNNNNNNNNNNNNNNNNNNNNNNNNNNNNNNNNNNNNNNNNNNNNNNNNNNNNNNNNNNNNNNNNNNNNNNNNNNNNNNNNNNNNNNNNNNNNNNNNNNNNNNNNNNNNNNNNNNNNNNNNNNNNNNNNNNNNNNNNNNNNNNNNNNNNNNNNNNNNNNNNNNNNNNNNNNNNNNNNNNNNNNNNNNNNNNNNNNNNNNNNNNNNNNNNNNNNNNNNNNNNNNNNNNNNNNNNNNNNNNNNNNNNNNNNNNNNNNNNNNNNNNNNNNNNNNNNNNNNNNNNNNNNNNNNNNNNNNNNNNNNNNNNNNNNNNNNNNNNNNNNNNNNNNNNNNNNNNNNNNNNNNNNNNNNNNNNNNNNNNNNNNNNNNNNNNNNNNNNNNNNNNNNNNNNNNNNNNNNNNNNNNNNNNNNNNNNNNNNNNCAUGGCAUUUGGCAACAAUGCAAUUGGAUACUUUAUUUUAAUUUGGCAUGACAUUUCUCGUGUUCUUCACUUAGGGACAAUGACUUUGCAAUUCUAAUUAACAUGUCGCUUUUAUCAUUCCCUUCUGAGACCAUUAGCCUGGGAUAGGAAUUGACUUGCUCGAUGAACUCAAGGUUGUGAGGCUUGCGGCUUGGGCCUACUGCUGUGAAAAAAGUGCCCACAUUCGGUCCACAUUCAGACUGGAUUAUUAAUCAAGUCUAGAAUUAAAUUUCUAAUGUGCUAGAGUAGGACUAUCUAUAGGUACCCUCUUAUCGUUAUUUUUCUUGGUGACGUGAAUUUAUUCAAUUUGAAUGAACACUGUAAUGACUUGAAACAUUCAAUGCCAGUCUAUCUCCUCAAAAAAGUAUUAGGCAGUGAUUUUUUGGAAUGGGUUUCAACUCGUCUUAAGUUUUUUUUUUAUCAUUUCAUGUGAGAUUUGGAGUAUCGCAAACUCUUACACUUAUUAUGUUAAUUUCCUCAUCAUUGUCAACUCACAUCGGCAGUGACAUUUCCUAUCCCGCCAAGAGCCCCACUUUGUCAAGCUUUCACAUCACAUUGAUCACUCCUUGCUUCGUUGGAUUGGGUAAAUGUUGUCUAAUCCAUCCCAAAUGAUAGAUCUACUAAAAAGAAUUUUGCUAAGAUUCAGUGUGCCACGACGCAUUUAUUGUUCAUGUAUGUAGCAUGACUAAGCCUCCCAUCCGAUUGAGAGCUGACUCAAGCAAUGCUAAUUAUGAGAGUUGUAAAGGUUAGAGUUAAAAUAUUCAAUUACUAUCAUGGAAGAAAGGCCGAGGUUGGGACACUUGGAGUGCCAUAACUUGGCACGGAAGGACACUUAAGUGCCAUAACUAUAAAAUGGUACACUUGAGUGGCAAUAUCGGAGUAAAAUGGGACACUUAAGUGCCACUCCGGCGAAAAUCCGGCCAAAAUAGCUGACGUGGCCAUUUUCCGACUAAUUUGGUUCAAAAUUUUUAAAUUUUUCUUGAUUUUUUGAAUAUUUUAAAUAAAAUUAAUUUUAAAUCUAAUUUAAUUAAUUUUUUUAUUAUUAUUUAUACGUAGACACAAAACGGCGUCGUUUUUGUAUUUUCUCCGCCAUGUCAGCGUGCAAAACAACGCCGUUUUGGACCAAACUCGUCGGAAACUCGCCACGUCAGCCGUUUGGCCGGAGUGGCACUUAAGUAUCCCAUUUAACUUUAAAACUGGCACUCAAGUGUACCAUUUUAAAGUUAUGGCACUUAAGUAUCCCUCCGUGCCAAGUUAUGGCACUCGGGCUGUACUUCUGCUUGACUUGAGGUGACCGUAUGUAUCAAGAUUGAGGAGAUCUUGUAAGUUUCGACGGCCGCGGCUUCCUUCAAUACUUGCCCAGGAAAAUACUAAAAGAGAGAGAAUGUUGAUGAUGACGAGAACGACCGUAGAAGAGCAAUUUGGUGUUUGACAUUUUUUGAGUCCCAAGACCAAUAGUGUUCAACCGGUACAAUCACACGGAAAAACACACCUAACAUAUAGGCACAGUUACACAAGUGAAUAUUGCAUAAAUUAAAUCUACUAGAUCAAGUUAAUCACAUUUUAAGAAGAUCUGGAUCUUAUGCUGAAUGUUACUAAUAAAUAUAGAUUUUUGUAUAGCCUCUACACUUUAAUUAUUAUGGGUAUCACGUUACCCAAAGACUAAAUCUAUGUAUGCUUUCUACAACUACCAACUUAUGAAAAAGUGUUCUAAAUUUGUAGUAUUUUGGCAACUUGUCAAUCUCAUUCAAUUUGGAUAGUUGAAAAUAAUAAUGGUAAUAAUAAAUUAUGAUAAAAAAAAAUGACGAAUAGAGAAAUGAAGCACCGAGUCCACAAAAGCCUCAUCACUCCAGCCCGGUUUGAUCACCUUGUUCCAGCCCAGCCCGGUCUGCCCACAAGAGUAGCCCAGACCACAAGCCAAGCCCAUCAAGCACCUGGCCCAAUUCGACUCAGUCCAUCAGAUCCACGAGAGCAGCCUCGGCUACCGCCAAACACCACCAGCUUCGCGGCCGCCGGAAGUGCUCCGUUCGCCACCGUUUUCCAGCCAGUAUCUUCGAAGUGCUUGGACCUUGUUCGUUUCUCAUUCCCUGGCUCCGAUCACCAUCCUCAUUGUCUCCAGUGAUGGCGUGGUCAGCACCUACACCUUCAAGGGAUUUUUCUUCAUGCUCUGUUUUGGCGAGGUAGAUACCGAGAACUCUUACUUCCGUCGCUAUGGAAAUUGAUCUUGUCUAAAGCUAUCACGAGAAACUUGAAUGUUCUAAGACCAGAUGUACUUUGCAUUGGCUGUGAAUCUCUCUUCAUUACUGUUUCAUUUUGUUCAUUAGUCGAGCGCCUGCUACGUGGUUGGUGAUAUUCCUAAGCUAGAUCAUGUUAGCAUUGCGUAGUGAAAUUUGCAGUACUACAAUGUUGAAUUACCUAAUGUGUUCUUAACCGAGACCUCACUGGAUUGAAAUUAGCUCACUAACAGUUUUUUUUUUUUUGGUCGAAAAUAUAGCUGGCAUUUCUUAUAUCACGUCCGAAAAUAGAGUCUCAACAUCAGAAUAUAAGAUUAACAUAAGAGAGUGCGGGGGAUGGGUAAUCCAGUCGGGAGGGAGAUCCGCGGCUUUGUGCGCCUUAGCGACUCAGUCGCUGCUCGGUUGUUUUCUCUGGGCUCGUGGACCAAAUUGACGGGAGGGAUGCGUUUAAGGAGUAACCUGCAGUCGUCCACGAUGGAGCGGGCCUCCCAUGGGCUUUCAAUCUGGCCCAGAAUGCUGUGCACAGCUUCAAGGCAAUCUGAACUGAUCUGGAACUGUUGUUCACUUCCAAAGUCCUCUCCCGUGCGUGCGUGUUGAGUUCUGUUCUGAGUGUUCAAGCAAAGUAACGCCUCCCUAAUAGCUAGGGUUUCGGCUGCAAAAGCUGAGAUCGCACAAAUCGACUUCGCAAAUCCUUCGGUGAGAAGACCGUUGCUGUUCCGGAAGAUCCCCGCCACCGAGCCCUCCUUCGUGGAGCAACACCAGGCGCUAUCAAUUGCAUGGGUUUCCUCAUUGUACGUGGGAUGUAUGGCGAUCGUUUUUGCCGUAUAGGCAUUCCUCAAGUUUAGUUGUCUUGCAUUGAGAAUGAAUCUGGGAGCUAUGCACUUUGAUACAAUUAUUCUCAGUUUAAAUCUACGUUCAGUGUUCUCGCAACACAAAUCCGAUUUUGAGUAUUGCUGGAUUUGGCCAAGAAUCUCUUGUACAUAACUAAAUUGAAUCCAAUGUGUUUUUGUCGAGUCCACAUGUUGAAUUUGCUGGAAUCGCGCUUAGAGCUGGUGAUCGUGUUGUGGGAUAAAUGAGCUGAUGAAAGAAGGGUGGACUUCUGAAUUGAGAAUUGGUUAGGUUUUGUCUUGAUUCAUUCAUACACCACAGUUCGGCUCCAUCGUUUCUCUUCAAUUAUCAAUUUUUUGUUGCGGUUUUGUCAUUCAGAGCCCUCGGCCACUAACCCUUUCAUUUGGCUCGGAUUUUAUCUUUUCUGACUUAUGUUGCGUUAUGCUUGUGUUUAAUGUAAAAUAUAACAUUGCAAUAAAUUGAAUGUGAUGAUUAAAAUUUCGAGCAAGAUUUUUGUAGUUACAAACCUAACAACUUAAUGUACUCAGAGCUCAUUGACGUCCAAUUUGUUUCUCAUUUUCCAAUCUCUCUGUAUUAUAAAUUUAUCAUGGUCGUCAUCUUUUAAAUUUAGAUUUUAAUUGUGUCUUCUUUUUUGCACACGCAUGCGCGUGUGCCCUUUUUUCAGUAAAGACAAAGGAUGAUUCCGGCCAUUUGAAUGAGUAUCGGCAUUUAAUAACUAGCUCAUUGAGGGCAAUAAGUUAAAAAACAUUCAAUUAACCUGACUUAGAUCCAACCCAUAUCUACCCAUUUGACGGCCUUAAACUUUGUCUCACAUGUAAUAUCACCCCGGAUUCAAUUUGUCCAAUGUGGUGUAUGAACUAUUAGUAGAUAUUCAAUCUAAUCCCUAAACUAUAUGAAAAAUGUUCAAUAUUGUCCUUUUAUUAAUUCAAACUGAUAGAAUCUAUUGAUGUGGCUUCAAAUCCGUUACCCGUUUGAUGAUGGACAACCAAAAAAAAAAGUGACACAUGGAUUACGCAAGUAAGACAUUCAUCUCAAAUGCAUCGACAUGUUAGUGUCCUAAUUUUUUUUUUCUUUUCACAAUUAGAUGAAUAAAGAUAGAUAUGUUAACUCAUUAUUUAUACUAGGCUAUGAAACAGUGUCUGAUUUGUAGUUUGAACAAAUAGAAGAACUGCACUUCAUGGAAUAAUUUGAACAAAUUACAAUCAAAAUACUACAUUAUAUUAGGCCAAAAUUCAAAAAUUAUUUGGAAUCAUUUGUGUUAUUAUCCUAAUUAUAAGUGACAUUCUGACUAUCUUUAAUUUUAUAUUAUCAGAUAGAAAUUUUGGCACCAAAUUAUUGCACAUGUCUACUAUUUACUUCUUCGUUGUUAACAUCAAGAACGAUCCCUCUUCUAAUGAGAGUUAUUAGUGCCUCGGAAUAUUUUUUUCGUCAUUGAAUAAUUAGAGCAUGUUUGUGUGUAUCACCAAUAAUUGUAUCACUUCGGAUAAAAAAUAAAUAAGUUUUUUUUUUCCAGUGCUUGAAAUGUUAUCAAGAAAUAAAUGUGUUCAAUUUUACUAAUUCUAACUAGCUUGUCUGAACUACAUAGCAUACAAGCAAAAGGUAUCAUCCGACAAUGAAAUAGAGUUAUGUAUUAUUUUGACAUGACCAAAGUUAUCCGAUAGAAGUGAUGUCAAAUAACAUUUAUCAUUCGGCACUUCCGAUCAAUCAAGAAAUAUUUAAAUAACAUUUAAAGAUACUAUUAACCCUAAAAAUGAUGAAGUUUUUUAUUUUUUUUAUUAAUAUGAUUCCGAUACAAAACUUGGUAUCCAACAAUCGUAGCAAUCAACAAGUUAUCGACGAUAAAAAAGCCUAAUGAUGAACACGAAUAUGAACAAUUGACAUGACGUUAAUAUAAAAGCUUGACGGUGGCGAGCAGUUGCACUAUCGACAAGAUAUCAAUGGCAGAAGAACUUGUCCAUAAUCAUGAAUAUCGGUGACAAAGUGUUUUUUUAUCACUAUAUGAUGACUAUUGGUCAACGAAUAGUACUUAAAAUAAAAUUAGUUCGUGUUGAAAGUAAAAGUGAAGAUGGUAAAGAUGCCAAUUGAGAAGUUUUAAAUAGUUGGACAUGCAAUUGGGAAAAAUAAUCGCAGACCCUUGGUAGCCAUAUUAGCAGCGCCGUGAAGUUGAGCCCAUUGACAACCAAAAGUUACAAACAUUUAAGCUGCGUUUGGUAGUCCGGAUUUGAGUCUGGAUAAGAUAAUUUGUUAUCUUAUCCGAUGUUUGGGAAUGUCCACCAGAUCGAACAAACCCGGAUACAUCCGGAUAAAAUGCCAGAUAAAAAAUCCGGGGAAGGGGGUGAGAUAAGUCUGGAUUGGAUAAGAAUUUUUUUUUUAAGGAAAGAAAAAACUUAACAAAAAGAGAAGAUAUCAUAAGCAUCUACGUCAAAUGGAUGCCUCCACCUCUCCGAUUCAUUGUCAACCCUCUUCUUGCACUUCUUCUCCCAUCUUCGCUUCUCGUACGCCAGCAAUUGGGUGCCCCUUCCUUUUAAUCAUGGACUUGCAAAAUCUGAUGAUCGAUAGUGGCUUUUUGAGACGAAUAGGGUAGAAGUUUUCUCAUAAGCAUUUGUGGAACUAAUUGAAGCAUUGCUUGUGCCACCUCAAACAUCGGUGGCUGGAACUUUGGCUUCACCUGCGCCACUUCAUUGACAAUGCUAGAAUCCUUACGAAGUACGUUGGACGUCUCAAGGGAAGAGGGGAAGGUGGUGAUGGUGAUGAAGCAGCUAUAAAUCUUUGGUACCGUUGACAACUUGGGACCUCGAUCAAUUUGAGGCAAUGCAAAGACUACUUCGGUGGUCGCCUAAAAUUCCUCGCCCCCUCUUUGUCGUAGUCUAAGAUUUACCAAUUUGCAUCGCCGUUGCAUGGCGAUGUUGGUGCUUGCCGUUUUCAAUGGUGGCCACUGCAGAGGUGGCCACAAUUCCUAGAUCUAGGACUUUUCCAUGGCCUUUAAUUAAUUAAAUUUUAUAAUUUUAUAAUUUAAUUGAAUAUCAUAUUUAUUUUUUAAGCUUAUCCUGAAGUGCGCCAAACACUCGAUAGGAUUAUAUAUGUCCGCUUUAUUGUCCAGAGGAUUUAAUAUCCUACUUUAUCCUAUCCUAUCCUGAUUAUUAUCCCGACGACCAAACGCAGCCUUAUAGAUAAGAAGAAUGCGUAGUUAUGAAAUCUAGUCAUAGAGUUCAAAAUCUCGAAAAGGCGGUUGUAACUUUUAAUUUAACAUUAAUCACUUAGAAGCGGUUGUUUUGUGUAAUAGGCUAUACAAGCCGUGUUGAAUCAUUGUAAAGAGCUCUUGAUCAUCAACACAAUCAAUGCUUCCUUUUAGAUUUACCAAUUUAAUGUUCCACUUCCUGCAUUUACUCUUGUUUGGUAAUUGCUUAUGAUUCUUGUUCUUCACUUCACGUCUGAAUCGCUAGGCAACCUGAUUCAAUAAUUGUCUCCUUUUUCCUUUUCCUUUUCAAAAGUGACACUGCAACCACGACUUGUUUUUUGAAGGAAUUAUCUUUAGGGUGCUUAUUAAUCAAUUUGUAAGUUUUGAAUGUUGCUGUUUCCUUCAAUUCUUGCCUAGCAAAAUGCUGAAAGAGAGUAAGAAUAAUGACGAUGAUGAUGAUGAAACGGUCAUGCAAGUGCAUUUUGGUGUUUAACAUCCUUUUAGGCCCAUGCCCGCAAGUGUUAAACUAGUACAACUGCAUGAAAAGUACGCUUAACAUAUAGCCACAAUUGCACGAGUGAUUAUUGCAUAAAUUAAAUUUACUAGAUCAAGGUAAUCACGUUUGAAGAAUCUCUAAAUCCUAUGCUGGAUCUUACUAAUAAUUUCCAUAUAGCUUCUUCACUUUAAUUAAUUAUGUCUAUCACAUUACUAGAAGACUAAAUCUAUGUAUAUUUUCUAUAACUUUCAAUUUACAAAAGAGAGUUCGAAGUUUGUCGUAUUUUGAUACUUGUCAUUCUCAUUGAAUUUGGAUUUGUGAAAAUAGUACCACCUCAUUUGGUUUUUUUUUUUUUUGGUCGAAAAUGAUAGCUUCUUUCAUUCAUAAAGUGCAAGAGUUACAAGAAGUCGAUAGGUAAGAUUCCGCACAUAAAAUUUCCAAAAGAGAUGGAGGAGAGAAGGAGCUCCAGUGUUGAGGUAGUGAACUAGUUCUAUGCAUCUUCGCAAUCAGAUCUGCCGUAUUAUUUGCUUCCCGCAAGCAAUAGGCCAACAUCAUCGAUUCCGAACUGGAGAGAAGGUUUCUGCAUUGUUCAACAAUGGGUUUCACAGUCCAAGGAGGUUCGGCCCGGCCCAUGAUGUUUUGUUUUGCGAUUAAACAGUCCGUUUCACAAACUACUUUGCCCUGUUGUACUUUAUCAACUUUUACCUCUCCCACGUGUAGUUCCUCUCUGCACUGCAGAAACUUCAACCCGUGCAAAAUCGCUAGGGUUUCAAUUUGAAGAGGGGAUGAAGCUCGAACUUGUCGCGCAAAGCCAUCGAUGAGUUGGCCAGCUUGAUCUCGCAAGAUUCUGACGACUGAUCCUACCUGUUCUCCAUGGACCCAAGAGCUGUCGACAUUGAGUUUCAGCACGGCGGUAUCCAUCUUCGUGGUGAGUGCAGGUUUGGGGAUUUCUCUACCUCUUUUUUGUUCAUCCAUUUGCUGAAAUUUUGGAGAUGUGCUUGUGCCAGGUCCACUAUGGUGUUCCGAUUCAGUUGUUUAGCUCUGAAAAUCGAGUUGUUUUGGGUUUUCCAGAUGAACCACAUCACCGUUGCCACCAACUCCUUUUCGGGUAGGUCUCUGUCACUUGCGAAACUCUCCAACAGCCAUUUAUCAAACCGGGUUAUGAAGUUAGGAUUACAAGCAAGAUUGAGCCGUGGAUCUGUCCAUAUGUUCUUUGUCCAUUUGCAAAGUAGGAACAUGUGCUCAGUAGUUUCCGGAUGUGUGUUGCAGAGUGAACAUAUUGGGUCAGGUAACACCUUUCGCUUGUAGAGAUUCUCUCUUGUUGGGAUUGCAUUAUGGCAGAUACUCCAUAUAAAGAUGCGCAUCUUAGGGGGUAUAGAUAAAUGUUAGAGCUUUGUCCACAAUGUUCGAGGAGGCUGAAAUGAUAUUGAUGCUCUGUUUUGUUCUACUUCUUUAGUCUGUGCACAUACUUUGUUGUAUCCGCUUUUAACUGUAUAUUUUCCAACCCUGUUACCCUUCCAAAUUAGGGUAUCUUCCUUCUUGUUGGGAUUUAGAGGAAUAGAUAAAAUUUCAUUUGCUAUUUUGUCUUCAAAUAGGUUCAGCACCUCUGUUUCUUUCCAUCCCCUGUUUUCAUCACUUAUAAGUUCAGCGACAGUUAUGGGGUCGUUUUGAUUUGCCGGGCCACCUAUCACAUCGGAUUCCAGCCAUCUAUCCUCUCGUAUUCUGAUUUUCUUGCCGUCACCUACCCUCCAUUGUACCUCCUUUUCAAUAGUUUCUCUCCCCACCAGAAUGCUUUGCCAACCCCAUGAUGGACGCUGCCCUUUACCUGCCUUCCACAUAUCUCCAUUUGGAAAGUAAACUCCUUUGAAUAUUCUACUCCAUAAGGCUGAGGGAGACUGAGAUAACCUCCAGGCUUGUUUUCCCAACAUUGCUUUGUUAAAAUUUAUUAAAUCUCUAAAUCCUAGCCCCCCUUCAUCCUUUCUCGUUUUCAAAACUUCACACUUCUUCCAGUGCAAACCCCUGCUUGUAUCAUUUUGUUUCCACCAAAAAGAUGCGAUUCUUCUUUCAAUUGCGUUACAUAUUGAGAUGGGUACUUUAAAGAGCGACAUGGCAUAUUGAGGAAGGGCUUGUACAACACUUUUAAUCAGCGUUUCUUUACCUGCUUUGGACAGAAUUUUCUCUUUCCAACCCUCCAUCUUCAUGUUUACUCUAGCUAGGAUCUAGACGAACAUCUCUUUUUUUGAACCGCCCCAAUCGGUCGGGAUGCUAAGAUAUUUUCCUGUCUUGUCUAUGAUCGGGACUCUGAGCUCUUGUGCCAAAUUCCUUUUCAGAUUCAAAGGGCAGCCGCUGUUGAAACUCACUCCUGAUUUAUUUAGGUUAAUUGCUUGGCCUGUAGCAUAACAAUAUUGGUUUAAGACUGCCACAAGGUUUUGGCAUUCUGAAAUGGUCCCAUCCAAGAAGAAAAUAGAAUCAUCGGCAAAGAGAAGAUGUGAUAAGGUAGGGCAAUGUGUAUUCAAUGUUAUCCAUUUUAUGCUCUCGUCUGCCAAAGCCUUAUGCAUUAGCCAUGACAGAACAUUCGACACUAGUAUAAACAGAUAGGUGAUAAAGGAUCACCUUGCCUUAAACCCCUGGAUGGUUUGAAAUAGUUCAAAAGCUCCCCAUUUACCUUCACACUAAAAGUGACUGUUGAGACACAUUGCAUUAUCAACCCUACCCACCUUGAAUCAAAUCCUAGUUUCAGCAAACAUUCACUCAAAAAAUCCCACUCCACUCCGUCAUACGCUUUUUGCAUAUCUAGUUUCAGAAUGGCUUGAAACUUCUUUUUUCUUUUCUUAAUUCUGAGCUGGUGGAUAACUUUCUGAACUAUUAAGAUAUUGUCUUGAAUUUGCCGCCCUUGCACAAAGGCACUUUGUUCAAAAGUAAUAAUAUCUGGGAGCCAUCUCUUCAUUCUGUUUGCCAGCACUUUAGCAAUAAUUUUGUAGUUGAAAUUACAGAGGCCAAUAGGUCUGAACUGGUUUAUACUUUCUGGAUUUUUGACCUUUGGUAUUAGGGUAAUAUAUGUUUGAUUUAGGAUGGGAUCAAGAGUACCUGUCUCAAAGAAGAGCUAUACUAGCUGAAAAACUUCAUGCUUUAGUUCCUCCCAAUAAUGCUGAUAGAAUUGCCCAUUUAACUCAUCGGGACCUGGUGCUUUGAGUGCACCAAAUUGGAAGACCGCCUCUUCCAUUUCUUCUAUUUUCACAAUUUCCAUAAGAUGUGUGUUCAUUUCCUCAUUUAUUGGGCUAGGACACUGAUCUAGGACCGGUUGAAAGUUCCUCGGGCCCACGAUUUCAUAGAGUGUUUGAUAAAAGUCCCUGAUAUGUUGCUUCAGCAAAUUUGGUUCCCUGCACCAUGUAUCUUCAUUAAUCUUUAGCAUUGUUAUUCUAUUUCACUACCUUCUUUGCACUAUUGUGGUGUGAAAGUACUUGGUGUUUUUGUCUCCCCAUUUAAGCCAAUUAAUGUGCGCCCUGAGCCCCCAAUACUUUUCCUCCUGUCUCCAUAAUAUUUGAUUUGAUCCACUACCUGCUAAUAUUCCUCCUUGCUGAAACAUUCUGGCUGUCUGUUAGUAAGCUCAGUUAAUUUCCUCUUUAACUCUCUUAUGCGAAUGGCAGCAUUUGGGAACUUGUUCUUGCUCCAUCUUGCUAAUUCUUUAGAGACAUCUUGCACUUUGUCUGAAAAACUGUUUUCAUUGAAGAGAUUGCCAUCCCAUAUUUGCUUUAUAAUCUCUCUACAUUCUUCUUCUUCUAGCCAAUAAGCUUCAAACCUAAAUUGUUUUUUUCGUUUCUAAUUUUCAGGGUGCAUCACUAGAAGAAGUGGGCUGUGGUCUAAGCCUACAGCUGGGAGAGCUUGAACUUCAGCAUUUGGGAAAGUCACCCGCCAGUCCAUGGUACAUAGAGCUCGAUCUAAUCUUUUUUUCACCAUCUCCUCUCCUGCUUUAUUAUUUGUCCAAGUAUAGGGCACGGCUUUUACUUUCGAUAUCCAUUAGGGAACAAUCAUUCAAGAGUUCACGAAACACUGCCAUUCAGUAGUAAUCAGCUGCUCUUUUGCAUUCCUUCUCCCAAGCAUAAAGAAUUUCGUUAAAAUCCCCCAUACAAAUCCAUGGAAGUAGAUUUUGUGACUGGAUUUCCCUUAGUUUGUGCCAUAAGAGAAGCCUCUCCCCAUAAUUGGUAGGGGCAUAGAGAAAGGUUAUUCGCAUAAGACAUCCACUUGUCCGAUCAUGACAUUCAACAUCUAUGAAAGUUUUGUUGCUAGAAUUUACUCUUAAGUCCACCUCUUCACUCCACAUAAGUGCUAAACCGCAUGCAAUACCUUCCGGAUUCUCUAUAAUUUUAUUCGGGAAUUUUAGGUGUUUUAUGACGCCUUCAACCAUCGACUCCUUAUUCUUAGUUUCCAUUAAAAAGAACAUAGUAGGCCUUUCAAGAGCAACUAAUGCUCUCAGCUCUUGGAACGUCAGGGGGUUGCCCAGCCCCUGACAGUUCCAGCUAAUGAUCUUCAUGACGUCUUCAGUGGCUUAUUAGGGCUAGCCACCAAAGCCCAAUCAUUCUAUUCCUUUACUAUCUGAACAGGUGUUUCCAAAAGCUCUAUAUCAUCGAUGAGUAAAAUAGCAUUGUCUGCUGAUCUCUUCUGUUUUUUGGUUUUCUAGGACUUCAAAGUUUUUUUACUGUUGCUGUCCACAGUCUGAGAGAUUACUUUAGGAGGAUCAAUACACAUAAUCUGCUUUCCUUUAUCUUUUUUCCUGUGGUCCAUGGUCGAGCCUUCUAGUAAAUAAUGAGAUGAAUCACAAUCUGCCCUUGUCUUGUCACGAGUAGUAGUAGCCUGGAUCUCCGAGUCAUUUCUCAUGCCUCUUUCCAUAUCAUUUUCUGAUGCAGGCAUUUCAGGGACAACUUCUUCAGCAUAAGAAAUUGUCUCUAAUUUGCCAUAGAAGGCUUCCCAAUGAGGGCUGUGAUCAUGUACUUCCGCUUUUAGCUAGGGUCCGUACUUUCCUACCUUAUUUUCUGCCCAUUUAGUUUGAUCAUAGGGAAUUUCCUCACAAUUUGUGGCGUAAUGACCAAUUCUCCCACAUGAGUGUGGAAGUCUUUCAUACUUAAAUUCCACCCAUAGCUUCUUAUGCCCUAUGUCCAAUGUAACCCCUGAUUUCAAGGGUGAAUUCAAAUCCAAAUCUACUUUCACCUUUCCUGCUUUGUAGGGACCAUUUCCUCUUGCCUCCAUCUAUAUAUCUACAACUCAUCCCACUCUCUCAGCCAAAUCAGCAACCACAUCCUCUCUAAACCAUCCUGGAGGUAUUCCUCCCAUUUGAACCCAGAAGGCGCAAUAAGAGAAAUCAUAACAGUGUUAUAGGAUCUCUAGAAAUCAUAACAGUGUUAUAGGAUCUCUGGUUUGCACUGUUUCAGAACUAGAAGGUUACUUGCAAAAGACCAUUGACCUGUUUUUAGGAUUCUAUCUUUCUCCUCUUCAAUUUGAAAAACAAAAGAGAAUAAUCCUGGCUCUUUUUGUAAACAAGCAACCGAAUCUGUUUUCCAUGCCUUCUUCAUCGUGUUAGAAAAGGCUUGGAAGUUAACAUUAGGUUUAGAGAAUAGCUUACCAAAUAGAGUGAGAUUGCAUUCCUGCCUUUUGAUAGGAGGGAUUUCUGUUGAAACCUCAACAACAUCACUAGCUGACCAGAGAUCCCCCAAGCUUUUACACAAUGCAGCUACUGGCAAAUCAUUCUCGUUCUCACCUUCCAUCUCUUCCUUUCGUAGGUUGUCUCAUUGCUCUUUGUCUACGUCGAUUUUGGGCUGAAUCACUACUCUGAACUUGUUUAGAGCUAGGAGUCGGGGCCACUUCUCUUAGUUUACUCGAAACCCCAAACUGGGUUCCUCAGUAGAGACAAUGGUUGGAACAUUCGUAGUUGCUGGAAUUUCUUGUGGUUUUUGGUAAUAAUCGGGUGCAGUUUGGAGUUAGAUUGAAGGGGGCUCUGUAAAACUGAUAUGGAAGGACUAAGUAUGGCGAAACUAUCAGCUGAAAGAAGAAAGCUAGAAGAAGACAGUGUUGUGGAAUGGGGAGAAGGUUUCAUGGUGAUGAUUCAUAUUUGGGUUUUUGGUGUUUUGAAGGAAAUCUGGGGAAGGAAAGGGUUAGGGUUCUGAGAUUAAACAUACCAGAUCUAAAGUGCUCUCAAAUCCAUUUGGGGUGAGCGGCGACUCCAGAAUCAUGGUGGUUGCAGGAGAUGAUUUGCACUAUCAGCCAUUGAAGAAAAAGGGGAAAGUCUACCCUAAGGAGAGAGAGGAGCUCUUCCGAGAGAAGAGAGGAUACUUGCCUCAUACCUUCUGGGAAAGGCCCAUUUGUGUCCCGGUAGCAUUGACACCUAAAUUACCGUUGAAAAGUCAAACAUUCAUUUUUUUUUUUGUAAAAAUAAAAUAAAAUAAUGAUGGUGAUAAAUUAUGAUAAAAAUAUUUAUAACAAAAACGAAUAAAAAGAUGAAGCACCAGGACCAUCAAAGCUCAUCACUCCAGCCAAGUCCGACCAUGAGAGUAGCCCAAACCACUAGCGAAGCUCAUUAAGCACCUGGCCCAAGUGGCCUCAGCCCAUUAGAUCCACAAGAGCAGCCUAGGCAACACCAGGCCCAUCAAAUUCUAAUAAAACCGAGUAAGCCCAAUUAGGUGAAACCCAUAAAGAUUUGAAUUGAGCCCGGUCCACCUCAUCGGAAUUGGGCCUCCUCUUCCCCACCAUCUUUCUCUCUCUAUCGCUCUGAAUGUUGGAAACGAACUCGCGCACGUGCACUGGGGAAGCUCAAUGAAGGGAAAUUUGCUGCAUUACAAUUUUUAAUCACCUUUUGUGUUUGUGACCGAGACACACCACGGUUUGGGUCCAUUGGUUCUCUUCGAUAUUGACUUCUUGUUGCAGUUUUGUCAUUUGAGAGCCUCAGCCACAAAACUUUCCAUUUAACUCGGACUUGAUCUUUUCCGACUCACGUUGCAUUAUGCCUAUAUUUAACGUAAAAAUAAUAUUGCAAUAACUUGAAUGUAGUGAUUAAAAUUUUGAGCAAGAUUUUGAUACUUACAAACCUAAAAAGUUAAUAUAUCUAGAGAUCAUUGACGUACAUUUAUUGCUCACUUUACAAUCUCUUUGUAUUAUAAGUUUAUCAUGGGCAUUAUCUUUUGAAUUUAUAUUUUACUCGUUGCUUCUUCUUUUUGGCACACGCAUAGGCAGCCCUUUAUUCAAUAAAGUCAAAAGAUAAUUCCAUCCAAUCGAAUGAGUAUUGGCAUUUAAUAAAUCCAUUUCUCAACAAGAAAAUGCUUUCGAGUUCAUGAUUAGAUAAUAUCUAUGAAUCACACUUGAAAUUUGUCUAGGUCAGUUUGACGACACACCACUUGGGAUGGCCAUGCAAAGAAGCAUGGUUGAACCCGAGAUAAGAAUAAAAUGUUAAAUCAAAAUAAUAAAUCAAAAUAUAGAAAAGCAUAAUGAACAUCAUAUUACAUGAUUUGAUCAGUAUGACCUUGUCCAUGGAAAGAGUAACAUAAAAUUUCACUUUUGAUCAAGCAAUACAACAAAGGUUAUAACCAUGCUUGAGUCAUUCAAAGACUUUUAAUUUUUCUUAGUCCCCAAUUACAUCCAAUAACUCACAUAAUAUAUAUAUAUAUAUAUAUAUAUAUAUAUAUAUAUAUAUAUAUAUUUAUGUCAAAAACUGACACAAUGUCUAACAUGCACCAUCACUAAAUUUAAUCGUGAUUUUCAAAACAAUUAAACACCCGGUAAUCAACUCUCUCCUAAUAUAAUUCACAAACUUAUGCACAACCUUGCAUAUUGAAGUUGAAGUAUUCACUGAACUUGUACUAAAAAGAACUCCCAAAACAGCCUUCCCUCAAAGUGGAAAAUAUGAUCCUUGCAAAUUGAGUUGAACUCUUCACUACUCACUAGCAGACAAUGAUGCGAGCUACUUCAUAGGAGCACAAAGAAAGACAUGGCAUUUGGCAGCCGUGUAAGUGAAUAAUUCUACUUUAAUUUUGGUGUGACAUUUCUCAUGUUCUUCACUUAGGGACAAUAAUUUUGCAAUUCUAAUUAACAUGUCACUCUUAUCAUUCCUUUCUCUAACCAUUAGCAUGGGAGGGGAUCGACCAGCUCAAUGACUUCAAGUUCGUGAGGCUUGUGGCUCAGGCUUGCCACCUUGAAAAUAGUACCCACAUUCAGUCCAAAUUUAGACCGAACACUUUGUCAAUCAGGUCUAGAAUUAGCAUUCUAAUGCGCUAGAGUAAGACUAGCUAUAGGUACUUUUUUUUUGGUCAGUAGCUAUAGGUACUUUCUUAUUGUUAUUUUGCUAGGUGAAACAAAUUUAUUGAAUUUGAAUAAAACACAUGUAAUGACUCGAAGCAUUCAACAUGAGUCAAACUCUCCAAAAAAGUACUUAGGUUGUGGUUUUUGGAGUAGGUUUCAACUUUCAUCUUAAGUUCUUUACCAUCUCACAUGGGAUUUUGAGUGUCACAAACUCUCCUGCUUAUAAUGUUAAUAUCUCAUUGUUGUCAACUCAUAGUAGGCGGUGACAUUUCCUAUUCUAGCAAGAGCCCCACUUUUUCAAGCUUUCACAUCCCGAUGAUCAUUCCCCGCUUUGUUGGAUUGGCUAAAGGCCAUCCAGUCCAUCACCAAAUCACGAAUCUACCAAAAAGAAAUCUUGUUAAGAUUCAAUGUGCCAAGACACAUUUAUUGCCCAUGUUUGUAGCAUGACUUAGCUUACCAUCUGACUAGGAGCUUACUCAAGUAAUGUUACUUGUGAGAGCUACAAAGGCCUUAGUUAAAGUAUUUAUGGUACAUUUAGUUCAGCAUUUUCAAAGCCUACUGGAGAAAUGCAAAGGCCUUAGCCUAAAGAGAUUUGGGGAAAUGCAAAUUGUAUUUGAUUAAAAAAAAAAAAAAAACCUUUGUAAAGCAACUUUGAGUAAAGUAGUUUUGAAUGGUAGCAACAAGAGGCCAAAUCGGAAAAUUGAAUAAUUGGUGAGAGUAGUUUUAGAAGAAAAAAAUAAUCAACCCUAGUUUCAGCAUUCCAAAGCUAGCAUUUAGUAGAACGCCACUUCAAAAAGCUUGCCGAACACCCCAAUAUUUUCUCUAGGGACUUUGGAAGCCGAAAAUGCCUCGAGAAAGCUAAACCAAACACAUCACCAUCACGGAAAGAAGAAAAGAAAGGCUAAAUCUUGAGGUGACCAUAUUUAUUAUGAUCCAAGAUCUUGUAAGUUUUGACUGUCUUUGCUUCCUUCAAUUACUGCCCAGCAAAAAUGCCGAAAGAGAGUAAGAAUGAUGAUGACACCAUCUAUGAUGACAUACUGAUGCAAUUUGGUAUUUAACAUCCUUUUAGUCCCCAAGACCACAUUUGUUCAACCAGUACAACUAGGUGGAAAACGCACCUAACUAAUAUGCACAACUACACGAGUGAGUAUUGUAUAUCAUAUCAAGAUAUUCACAUUUCAAGAAUCUCUAGAUCCCACACUAAAUCUUAUUAAAAAAAUAUGAAUUUUCAUAUAGCUUAUACAUUUUAUUUAUUUUUGUCUAUCACAUUACCCAAAGAAUAAAUCUACUCAUGUUUUCUAUGUGCCAACUUACGGAGAGAGUUCUAAAUUUCUAGUUUUUUGACGCUUGUCAAUUUCAUCAAAUUUGGAUCGAUAAAUAUGAUAACAUAUCAUUUGAUUAUUCGUGAUAUUUUGGAAAAGGUCCAAUUGGGUCACAAUGGUAUUAACAUCUGAAUUUUCACCGACAAGUCAAACAUGUAUUUUUUUCUUUAAAAAAAUACUAUUUAUAGAAAAUAAAAUAAAAAAUAAAAAGGAAAACAUAAUGAUGAAAAAUAAACAAGAAAUAAAAUAAAUAAAUAAAAUAAAGCACCAGGUCCAUCAAAGCCCAUCUCUCCAGCCCAGUUUGAUAACCUCGUUAUAGCCCAACCCGGUCCGACCACAAGCGUAGCCCAGACCGCUAGUAGCCGCCACUCGUCUCCGAUUGCCGACCAACACACGCUCUUUGCAUUUGAAUCUCAGAUAGCAGAGCAGGGAGUACAGAGAAGGAAUUCUCGUAUUGAGUAGCAAUUCUCUGUCGAUUUUUCCUCUUUGAAUCUUUGCCGCCCUCUCUGUCAGUGAUCGCAGCCGCAGGCCACCGCCGAACACCACCAGCAUCGCGGCCACUGGAAGUGCUUCGUUCGCCCCUGUUUUCCAGCCAGCGUCUUCGACGUCCUCGGAGAGUGUUCGUUUCUCCUUCCCCGGGUCCGAUCAUCAUCCUCAUCGUCUCCGGUGAUGGCGGGGCCAGCACCUACGCUUUCAAGAUAUAUUUCUUCAUGCUCUGUUUUACCGAGGUAGAAACCGAGGAUUCUUAAUUCCAUCGCUAUGGAAAUUGUGACUUUCUGAAGCUAUCAUGAGAACCUCGAAUGUUUCGUGUCGAUUGUGUUUUACAUUGGCUGUGAAUCUCUCUCCAUUUACUGUUUCAUUUUGUUCACCGGUCAAGCGCCUGCUACAUAGUUGGUGAUAUUCCUAAGCUAGAUCAUUUUGGAAGAAAUAAAAGCCGAGGUCAUUCUCCUUUAUAUUUAGCAUUGAGUCGAGAAAUUUUGCUAUACUACAAUGGUUAAUUACCUAAUGUGUUCUUAACCGAGACUUUCCAGUUAUGAAAUUAGCUCAUUAACAGGCAAUUUGGUCGGUUUCCUCAUUGUAUAUGGAUGUAUGUUGAUCGUGUUUUGCUGUAUAGGCAUUCCCUAAGUUCUGUUGUCUUGCAUUAAGAAUGAUUCUAGGUGGAAUAAAAUUAUAGUUCCUUUGCUGAUACAAUGAACUGAUGAAAGAAGGAUGGACUUCUAAAUUGAGAAUGGAUCUGGCAUUAGUCUUGAUUCAUUCAUAGGCCACAGUCCACCUCCAUUGGUGUUAGUGGAGAAUCCUUAAAUGCAUAGGUUCAUCGGUUCUCUUUUGAUAUUGAUUUCUUGUUGCGGUUUUGUCAUUCGAGACCCUCAGCCAUGAACCUUUUCAUUUGACUCAGACUUGAUUUUUUUCCGACUUACAUUGCAUUAUGCCUAUGUUUAACGUAAAUAUAACAUUGCAAUAAAUUAAAUUUGAUGAUUAAAAUUUCGAGUAAGAUGUUCGUAGCUACAAGCCUAACAACUAAUAUAUCCAGGGCUCAUCCACAUCCAAUUUCUCACUUUCGAAUCUCUUUGUAUUAUAAGUUUAUCAUGGGUAUUAUCUUGCAAAUUUAGAUUUUACUCAUGUUUUGCUUUGUUUGCACGCCGCACACCGCGGUUCACCUCUAUUUUCUUCUUUUUAUUUCCUUCCACUGGUGGCAGACAAGGGGCACAAAUUCUUUCUUCUAGAUGUUGUAAAGUUGUGCUUGCUUCACCGAAUCAAAGCGUGUGAUCAACAAAACUGUGUCUAUGGAGCCAAAGGGAGAAAGAAAGGCUUGACUUUCACUUGUGCUGUAAUAACCAGUAACAAGCUCGAACGUCGUGAAAUGCCUGUUGUUGAUGGAGAAAGCAGCUUGGGAAAAUCCAAUCAAGGCUCUUGGAGAGAGGAGAACUUAGAUCUUUCCUUUUUCUUAUCCUUCUCACCUGCAGCCUCGCGAACCGAGUGGAUCUCCUAAACAUCAUCAACGAAAGUGAGUGCAAGUUAAGCCUUGGAUGCUCUCCUUUACUCCAGGAAAGGCCAAUAUUUAGUAUAGCCUGGUCCUCUCGUUUCACCAACAAAUUGUGUCUUCCCAUACGGCUUUUCGAUGAUCAGUGAAUAACAUUACUUUCUAGCAAAAAAGAAAAGAUAUAGUAAAACUGAUUUAUUAAAUUGAAUAAUUACGCGAUGUUUCGAACUUCUCUUUAAUGUUAUAUAUGACAAUUUGUUUAGUGGUCCAGUUGCAAUUUGUUAUAUAACUCGAUAUAUCAGUCUAGUUGAUUAUUGUUAACAUUAUCUAGCUUAGUAACCUCUAAAGUUGGAGAGCACCGGCUAACGUCACUAAGGACGGCUGACAAUGAUCGGACCACCAUGUCAACAAUUUUAGAUGAAAAUUGACGGAAACGACUACAUUAAAAAUUAAUACAAAAGUUUAUAAUUACAUUAAAAAAAUUAAAAGAUUCAUGUUUCCCAUGUCGAUCCAUUAUUUUACAGAGUCCACUACGGGUAUUUAGAGAACAAUUAUGUCUACUUUUCAUUUUGUUUUUUCCAAAAGCAACACUAAUGCCACUACUGGUCAUGUGAUGCAUCGUUUGAAUGGAUAUGAAAAGGUUUAAUAUAAGCACGGGUUUUUUCAAUUAAAAUAAUGACGACAUGACUUUUAAAGGAAUUAAAUUUGGGGGUGCUUAUUAAUCAAUUAAUAAAAAUUUUAUUGUAUUGAUUUUCGUCGGAAUAUGUAGGACCAAUUUUUAGGAAAUAAAUCAUUUUUAUUGAGUAAAAUAAACAUACAUGCGGACCUAAUAAUUGCUCUCACUUUUGAAACGCUUAAAAUUUGACCUAUGCGAAUGUACAUGAUCGAUUGAAGUAUACACCUCAAUAUCUACAUUUUGUUUUUUGGAAUUUGUUUCAUUAUUGGAGAAAAGAUCCUUUGCAAAAUGUUUAAAUAUGUUACAAAUUUCAUGUUGAGUUAGUUAAUACUAGAUAGGCAAAAAAUGAUAAGCGAAACUUAUAAUUUUGUAAAAUUUGAUUUGCCUGUCGUCAAAACAUUCAAUAUUGAUUCAAGUAAAAUAAGCCAAACGUAUAAUUUCGCGAUCCCUAGUCUACGGGGAAAAUUCUAAAUAAAAGUCUAAAGCGGUUCUAAAUAAAAAGCUCAGUGAACUCGUCGACCGGCCGAACGUUCGCAGAUAAAUAUUUUCCGAGGACUAGAACAGAGUUAUUUUGGUUCGAAAUUUGCAAUUAGGUAAAAAAAUUUAAAGAAAAUCCCCAAAUUGAAUUAGCAUUUUCAAAUUUUCCCGUUUUCUUUCUUCUCUCCCGCCGCUCAAGCAGAUUGCUCUCAGCCGAUCCUCCGCCGCGCCGCUCCGGUCCUCCGCCGCUCCUUGCGAGCUUCAUUCGCCGCCGUCUCUUCUUCUCUCCCCGGUUCCGUCGUCCCCAAGCUUUCAAGCCCUUCUUCGCGAGCUUCAAGUCCUUCAUCCGCCGAGCUUCGCUCCCGUUCGAACGAGGUUAGCGUCGCUCAAAUUGGUGCAGUUCGUCCAAGAGACAGCGAUCGCAGCUUGUCGAAGCAACGCGGCGACAGGGUGCGGGCUCGUCGUGGGAACAUCACGCCGAUGGCGGCGAGGCGCUCUUCCCAAGCCCGAAUGGGCCGCUCUGAUUUCAGUCACGGAGCGUGCAAUCUCUUGGGAAAGACCCCGGCUUCCGCAUUCUCUCUUCUUCGAUGCUCCUCGGUCUAUUCGUGCCGCUGCAAUUCCCGAAAGAAAGGGAUUUCCUUUCCCCCCCUAAUGCCGUGCGCCGUAAGAUGGACCGAAGCUGGCGAGGUGGGUUCUUCUCCCUCGGCGUAAAUUUGGGAUUUGUCUCGCAGCGGCGGUGCUCCAGCAAAUGCUUUUUUGUUUUUGGCCUCCGAUGGUAAGCUCCGAUGUCUGGCUUUUCUCGCUGCUGUGAUCUAUGAACUGUUUGUGCAUUCGCCAGAUGCGCUCGUUGGUGAAUUUAACAGUAAGAUUAGUGACUUUUAAGGACAUUGCACAAAAGGGGGCCGAAAUUCUUCUUCUUUUGUCUGUUUUUAUGGUAUGUUUGAGUUAGUAAUUUGAUUCUGUUAUCGUUGGUAAGCUAGAUAUGGACUUCUCUGAGUAAUGCUUCCGUGGUAAUCUGCAGGAGGUGGAUGAAUUCAUCAUCGGGCUAUCAAUGUCUUCUGAUAGAAACAGAGACUAUUCAGUCUAGUAAAGUUCGCAGCGUUGCCUGGAAGACUCGCGGUGGGGAGGUGAAAUCAUUGCAUAUGUUUUGUUGAUUGUUGUCUAUGUUCUGUCUCUAGGGCUGAUGGUAAAUACUAAACGAGUGGUGAUUUUGAUUUGGGAUCAUAUAUUACUUCACUCCAUUUCAAAUGCAUUUAUAGACUGCAUGUCUACCGGUUCAGUGAUGUCUCCUGACUUGCUUUAUAAGUUGCUUCUGGUUUCUGC
rnacentral:lncRNA from 1 species